UUGAAUGCAGGUAUAUUAUGGAGUCAAACCGGAUGAAAAGAAUAAGUUUGUAAGCAGACUACAAAAGGAUCAGAAAGUUGUAGCUAUGGUUGGCGAUGGGAUAAAUGAUGCUGCAGCCUUGGCAUCAGCACAUGUAGGAAUAGCUAUUGGUGGCGGAGUUGGAGCUGCAAGUGAUGUGGCUUCCAUUGUACUGAUGCAUGAUCGGUUAUCUCAGGUGUCCAUCUCUCCUAUUUGUAACUUUCACAGCUUUCAUGUCGUUUGUUAUUUUCUGGAACUAGAGUAACCUGGCUUAUGUUUCUGAGUGUAUGGUAAAAUUGGGCAAAAACAUGGACUCUUGUUUUGGUCUUAAGGUUUUAGUUUUCAGAACACAUGCUGAGAACAUUGUAACUCUAUGAUUUUCAAACACUUGAAUCAGAUCAACAGAUAGAAAUGGUUAUUACAUUGUAUGUAAACUACUAAAGGUUGUUUGGAUCUGACAAGUACUUUCUCUAAAAGACCCAUUUGAGUCCUGAAUUCCCUGGCAUAGCAUUUGGGAGUGAAAACUCCCAUUCUUACAUGUUAAAUUUCUGGGCAUCUUGAAUAAGUUCAUUGUUCAAAUAUGCAAUGCCUAGCCUCAGAGGGCCAUUUCCAGGUGCUUGUGAUGUGCCUACAUUCAUCAUCAUAACAAUAUUAAUUGAGAACACACUUUUAAUAUCUCACAUUGUCUACGUGCCCAUCACAUGCGGGACUGAUUAUUUUUGAUGGGUCAAGCAUGUGGCAUUUUUUAAUGAAGGAUAGCGGCAUACUUGAGCCUAGGACCUUUACUUGCUCAGCUACCAUGUUGAAUUUGUAUUACCACCUCAUCCAAAAGCUUAAACUGUUCGAUAGAUCUCUCUUUUAAUUAGUCAUGUCUUCAAAAGUUUCAACACUUGACCUUUCUCAGUUGUGUUAUAACAUUUUUCAGGAACCAGUCACAUAAAGUGCCUUCUGUUAGCAGUAUGCAUGACAUAAUACUGCUCCAACCAUUUCCUUUGCCACCGUGAAUAUUUAGGGGUCAUUUGGUAGAGGUGUUGGCAAAAUGAUGCAUUCAUUAACUAUGUGUAUUAGUAGUAGCUUGUCUGGUACACUUCUCAUACUAUGUAUAACUAAUGCUCGCAUUAAUUAUACGCUCUAUCGUGUAUCAAGGGGUGUAUUACUUGUACGAUGGAUUUCUGGGUAUUAGUAAUGCCAGGGAUUUAAUGCAUGCAUUAGCAUGGUUAAAGAUCCAAUUGCCCCUUAAAACCUUUUUUAUGUCUUUUUCACCAUAUUUAUAGAGGGUAUCUUUCUAAAUAAAUAUUUUUAAAAUAAAUUAUGCAAUGCAUGCUAUUUUAAUACACCAUAUUAGACAAUGCAUAAGAAAUAAUCUUUGCAUAAUUAAUGCAAGCAUUACUAAUAUACUUUAUUUAGCAUUAUUCGUAUACACCCUACCAAACGACCUCUUAGAGCUCACAACAAGUGACAAAUCCUUGUAAAAAUGCACUGAUGAUACCUGCUUGUGUUUUUUAGAGCAUUUGGUUAUAGAGAAAUAGGAGAUUUUUUGAUGUAGAGUCAACUGCUUUAGGCAUUUUGAAGGCCAAUUGUAUUGCAAAUUUGUUUAGUUGGUCCAACUUGUAUCCUGCUGUUAUUACAGAACAACUUCAGGAUUUUAUUAACUCACUAACUCUGGGUUUAGAUAGUUUGUAUAGUUAGCCAGAGAUUUUUUAUAAGUUCAAAUGCCAUAUCUUGUAAUUUUUGCAUCUUCUUGCUGCGGUUAUUAAUAUACUUGUUUUAUCCCCAAAAAAAAGAAAAAGAAAAAGGAGGUCUCACAUGAAUAAUUUGAGAUUUUCUUCUUAAGUAGUAUUAAAGUUUUAAGGUACACCACACUGAUUUUCUACUGAUAUAAGGAGGUUUAUUGGUGAUAUUCAUAGUACUUUGUAACAAUACUUUGGUCUGGGAACUCUUUUACUAUAAUGGUGUAAUAGAGUUGCAGAUCUGAAUCUCUCAAGAAUGGGUGGCAGUGGUCUUAGUAGAAUUAAAUGUGGAGACCUUACGUGAAAGUGAAUUCUAGGCGAAUGAACUGAUUACCAGGAUCUAAAUCAUUUAGUACUUCAGUAUGUCUAUCACCUAGUUGGCUAUGGAUGAAGGUAGUGUGAAGAAGUAUUGGGGAGAUGUGAUUAGGUAGGACAUGGCAAAGUGGCAGCUUACUGAGGAUUUGACCUUAGAUAGGAGGUCGUGGAAGACACAAAUUAGGAUAGAAGGUUAGCAGAUAGUGGAGCAUUGUCUUGCUUAUCCUUCCAUACCAAUAGUCGUCUUAUUUCUCAUGUAGUUUCCUAUCUCUUUAUUUUUGUUACUAUCUUACCGUCUCAUGUACUUGGAUUAUCACUAUUUUGUUGCAGUUACUAUUUUCUUUCUUCUUUCGUGUUUUUCCGAAUGCUUUGUCAUGCUUUCUAUAGUAUUUCACAAUGAUUUCUUCACUUUUGUUAUCUCUUUUUCAAUUUGCAUUGAUAUACUUUUUCUUGAGCCGAGAGUCUAUCGGAAACAGCCUCUUUAUCUCCCAAUGUAGGGUUAAUGUCUGCAUUUACUCUACCUUCUCCAGACCCACUGAUAUUGUCUUAAAAAAAAUUUCUCUGAUGACAAAACAUUGGCAAGCAGCUUAUUAAGAGUCUCUUUUAGUUCUUGCUCUGUCAUGUUGUUAGGGUAACUAAGGCUUGAAAUUAGGUGAGGACUUCUGGAUCAAUGGAUGUAGUAUUUCUUCUUGAUGUUUUUUCUAACAUGUUGUGUUAUGACUUUUAACAAAAUGUCCUUUCUGCAGUUGCUCGAUGCUCUGGAGCUAAGCAGGCUAACAAUGAAGACUGUAAAACAAAAUCUUUGGUGGGCCUUCGGAUACAACAUUGUAAGUUUUUUGGUAUCAGCUCUCCAUGAGAACAGGAAGUGUUUUCUUUGUGCAUUGCCAUCUUAAACAACUGGUUAAGCUAAAUAAAUGGUAUCAAUUUGCCACAUGCAAAUCAUUGAUUAAAGAUUUAAAUGACCAUGCUCGAGGCUUAUUCAAACUUGUUGGGGAAAAGAUUCUUGCUUCUCUUGCCCCCAUGGGUAUCAUUCCUUUUGGAUGCCUACCAAUUUUUUUCAAGACCUUCAGUAGCCAGUCACAUUGAAAAUCUAAACCCCUACAUAUAUACACGUGAAUCAUGAUACAAUAAUAAUCUUGCUGCUGAUAAACUGUGCUCUUACAGAAGCUACAUAUGUGUGAAAUUGCAUUGUAUUUAAUUUGUACUGCGUGUGCAGCCAUGCUUUAAUCACAUUCAGAAGUUGUGUAAAGAGAAGGGAGGGGAACAAAAUGGUCUGUUGCUCAUGAACUCACACAGUUGUGCGUGGAGAUAUACUUGAAAUAUCAUAACAAAACAUAUAAGCUUUAAGUUGACUCCUAAUGCUUCUAAUAGGGUGUUUGGAUUGGCUUUUAAAAAGUGGCUUAUUCCCAAGAGAGUUUUAAAUAUGUUGGGUCUGUCGUCCAUAGUAGUGGGGACAUUGACGAUGAUGUCACGCAUCGCAUUGGGACAGUAAUGGAUGAAAUGGAAGCUUGCCUCUAUAGUAUUAUGUGAUAAAAAAGUACCACCUAAACUUAAAGGUAAGUUCUAUAGAAUGGUGGUUAGACCGUCUUUGUUAUAUGGGGUGGAGUACUAGCCAAUUAAAAACUCACGUUCAGAAGAUGUAUGACACGGAGAUGAGGGUUGAGAUGGAUGUGUGGACAUACGAGUGAUAAGAUUAGGAACGAGGUUAUUCGGGAGAAAAUGCGAGUGGUCUCCGUGGCAGACAAGAUGAGAGAAGCAAGACUAAGAUGGUUUAGGCAUGUGCAAAGGGGAGGUUUUGUCGACGCCCCAGUUAGGAGGUGCGGGAGGUUGGAUUUAGGGAUUACGCGGAAGGGUAGGGGUAGACUGUAAAAGUAUUGGGGAGAGGUGAUUAAAGAGAUAUGGUUCAGCUUCAUAUCACCGAGGAAAUGGCCUUAGAUGGAAAGAAGUGGAGGUGUCACGUAUUAGGGUAGAAGGUUAUUAGGGGUAAGAUGUUGUCUUACCUUGUGAUGUUUUUGUGGUUUAUCGUAGGAUUAGUCAUGCCAUUAUAGUUAUGUUGUUAUUGCUCUUCGAUUAUUUGCUACUUCAAUUGUUUUUCUUGAAGAAUUGACUUUGCUCUUCGUUUUGGUCACUAUUUUAUAUCUAUUAGUUUUUUCCUUCUUUUAUUUGGAACUAAUAUAUUUGAGCCGAGGAUCUUUCGAAAACAGACUCUCUAUCUCCAUGAGGUAGUGGCAAGGUCUGCAUACACUCUACACUCCCCAAACCCACUUAUGGGAUUUCACUGGAUAUGUUAUUGUUGUCGUCAUCGUCAUUGUAUCCUUCAUAUGUCUUUCCUCUUGAUCUUUGUUCCAACAGGUUGGAAUUCCAGUAGCUGCUGGAGUCCUGCUGCCAUCUACUGGAACCAUGCUUACCCCGUCAAUAGCAGGAGCUCUCAUGGGCUUAAGCUCUAUUGGCGUGAUGACAAAUUCAUUGUUACUGAGACUAAAGAUUAAACCAACGCAGAAGGAAAUCCAUGGACAAUCAGUAGUAGUUGAUAUCCCUUCUGAUUCUGAUAGCUUGAAGCAAGAAAAGUUAAGACAUCCAUAUCCAGCAUCCAGAUAGUGAAUCCUCACAAGCCCAGCCAAUGAUAGAUUCCAACACUCAGUUAUGCCUCUUCUUGGGAUACCAAUCAGUUGAAGGGAGUGUAACCUUGUAAUUGCCGCUGUUUGUAGGGAUGGGGGACUCUGCUUCAGCUCAAGCUUAUCAGCCGUCAGAUUUUAAUGGAUCCUGCUCCCUGUGGUUUUACAUGGUUGGGGGAUGCAGAUUUAUACACCAAGUUAGUUUCUAGGCACUGAAUCGACUUACAGGGAAUCACAAACAAUUUGGUUAAGCAUUCAAUGUGUAAUAAUUGGAUCGUGCCAAGAAAAUGCCAUGUUUGUAUUCCAGUAAAUUUGGGCAGAAAUGUCGAUUGCUUCUCUUUUUACCAAAUCACAGUCUACAUGUCAAAGAAGGUUCAAGACAGAAGAUAACAAACAACAUUUUCAACCAGGAUAAAACCAAAGAAGAAACUUUUGAGCGUUUGGACAUAAAUCAAUCAACUGUGAUCCAUCUUAAAUUAGUUGGAGUCCGGUAAAGUUCAAUCUAUCCUAUUCCGAUACAUCUCAUUCCUGUAGUAAGUUACUAGUUUGUAAGAUAAUUAGGUCUACUCUCACACUCGAGUAACAUAAAAAUUUAAGAUAAGCCAAGUAACACAAGAAUUAGAAGGCGUAAAGAACAACAUUUUAAUCUUUUAAUCUCAACAAUUUUACAUGGGUUUCCAUGUCUUGCAAAUCAUUAAGAGUCCCAUGCGCAACCCAGCAAAAUGCUUUGAUGAAUCCAUUAUACAACUAUACCAGAAGCCAAAUCCUCCAAGCUCUAAGACAGGGACAUCCGACACAUCAUCCUAUGCUAUGCAAUACAGGCGUAUGACAAUUUCUGUGCAUCCAUCAAAUGGUGCGGCAUCAAUUAUGAUGUAAAUCAGGAAGGCCAAGUUGACAGAUAACCAGAAAUCUUGCCAAAAUAGCUUGUGGACCUAAUUCAAAAAAUAAAAAGAGACAGUUCACACCAUAUAUUGCAUGCCGACCUGCACUAAAUGUGAAUGCGGUACACUCAAAUUGGCAGUUCCCCUCCUACUAUUCUUUCUCAAGAAAGCAUAAAAAUAAUUGAUGAUAAGCUUCUUAAUGAACCAUGAAUCCUUCCUUGCCCUAAUAUCUCCGUGACCAAGAAGAUAGACCACACCAGAUUCUUUGGCCUUGCGGAUGAAUGAGAGCUCCUUUUCAAGGGAUUGCUCUGCCUCAGACACCAACGACUCAGAAGAUGUUCCAGGUUUCAGCUCUUCUGAAGUGCUCUCUUCCAUAACUGCCUUUCCUGUGUCCCUAAAAUCAGCUAAGAGAGGAACGCCUAGUGAAUAAACACUUCCAUUUGGAGCUACUAGGACCCUUGAGAAGGAGUGCUCUUCUUCAGAGUCUGAUUCAUCGACAUCACUUUCAAGUGAUCGCUCCUGAGCUUCUCUGCGUAUGAACUUCUCGAGACUUUCAAUGAGCAGUUGCUCAAAAGUGUGGUGAUUUUCUUUACGAGCAUCCUUGUACCCAUAUCUGUAGAUCCAAAAUUUUGAAAAGAGAAAUUAGUAGCCUACUAACCUUAGAUGCACACAUCAAUUGCAGAAGAGGAAGCAAACAUUACAACAGAGAACUGUUGAAAUUUAUAAGCAUCUAAAGCAGAGAGGAUUGAAGAUAAGUUGGUUGCUUAGCCAUUUUUAGUUUGGAGAAAAGAAUUAACAUCACGCACAUAGGUGCUAACCCCUAAAGAUUAGGAAAGUUCCAUCUGCCAUAUAUAUUCAUUUAACCAUCUGUCAUGUGACAGUUCUAAUAAAGUUGUCUCAACAUUUGCGCAAACGUUUAAUACUUUUUCUACCUUUCUUUAGUCACGUCAGUCGGUUUGUGUAGUCAAGGUAUUAGCAAAACGGGGAAAUUUAGUUUACCUGGCAACACAACGGAAUAUGUGGUAGCUUCUGGGGCAGACUCGCCGAAACAGGAACCUUUCAUUCUGAGGUACAACUGGAACAGGAACAUACUUUAUACAAACAAAAAUGAUCAUGGAAUGCACAGCAGGUAGAGUGGUGAGAAAAUGUCCAAAUAUGGCUGGUAUUCCCUUUGCUAGUUCAUUGUAAAGCAAGCCAAUUCCAGGAGCUCUUAUAGUUCCAAGGUUGGGGCCCAAUUCGCGCAACAAAUCCAUAGACAUCUUUUGCUUGACUUCAGUUUCAUACUUCAGCUUGCUUCCAUAAUUCCAGAUGUACAUAAUCAGGAACAAUACAACAGCAAAGACAAGUAUAAUCCAACUUCCAUCUCCCACACUCCAUAAAACAGACGAAAAGAAUGUCAACUCCAAUCCCAAGAAGAUAAUAACAAAACUUAGCACAAUUAAGAUGUUGAUCUGCCAUAUCAGAAGCAUAACAAUCGUAACCAAUAUUGUUGUCAUCAUCAUUACUCCAAGCUCUGCUAUGGCUGUCAAACAGGGUAUGCAUCAGAUAUCAACAAGGCGAUCAAUAAAUCAUUUGAUGAACACUUGAAAGCACCUUAAGUUUUUCAUCAUCGAAGACAUGACUCUAAAUCGAAAUACAACAUUUACAGGAAUGUUUUCUCCUAUAUACCAUAGUUAACAAGAAAAGCUCUUCAUGGCAGAUGUAGGUUACGUUUCUCUAUGAACAAAUGAAUCAUUGUAGAAUGUUUUCUCCUAUGUACCGUAGUAAACAAGAAAAACUCUUCAUAACAGAGGUAGGUUAGGUUUCUUCAUGAAUAAAUGAAUUAUUGUACACGUACUACAUACUUCAAACAGACUCUGCUGCAAAAGAAUAUGUAGAGCAUCAUGUGCAGCAGAACUAGGGUUAUGGUGACAAGAAACCAGCACUUUGUCAAGCAGUUUUUACAAGUGGUCCCUGUCAUCUUCAAAUUUUGGAAAUGAUAAAGAAAGUUAAAUGAUAAAAUUUAAAUGUUGAAAAUAGUAAGAGACUGUAGGUUUUCACGAAUGAGUUUGAAAACACACAGCAUUCAGAGAGUUUUAAUUCCGAAACACCAGACAAAUCAAUGUAAUAACAAGUUAACAAGAUGGUAAAAAGAAAUUAAAAAACAGUGAGCAUUUUAUACAAGGGUAAGGCUUCAUAACACCACCCUCCCAGACCCCCACCCACUUGUCACCCCACCACUUGUGGAUUACACUGGGUAUGUUUGUUGUUGUUGUGAGAAUUUCAUACAACAAAAGAGGCACACAUAUUGUGCGUCGUUGUCGGGAGACAAAUUAACAAGAUGGUAUAUGGACAAAGUAUUUCAAUUUUGUAUCUACCAACCUUUAAACGUUUACCAGAAAGCUCCAAGUGCACACCACGACAAACAUUAAGUACUAGGGUAACAGAGAGCAAUCAGCAAAGAAAUUGGAAGUUCUAAAGAGAAUAGGAUUACCAUAAGCAUUUCCAAUCUCAUAUAUAUUUGAGAUAGAGCAGACCAACCCCAAAGACAACGCCAGAAGAAACCAGUUCAUGACUGGGAUAUAAAUCUGACCCAUGAACUUCCGGGACGUAUGAAUGAUCUUGAGGCGAGGGAAGCAGCCUAAAGCUGUGGACUGUUUAAUGCAAGAAAAAGUCGCUGUGGUCAUGGCCCUACUGGCAAUUAAAGCAGCUAUAUUGGCAAUAAAGAAGACAGGCCAGAAAGCUCCACCUGCAUAUAAUUACAGAAUUUCACCCAACAAAUACUUUGUCAGUGUAUACUUUUUAUAUUCAGAGACGUAUCUGUAAUAAUGAGAACUACACAUGAUCAUGACACUUCUGUUUCCAUAUGUUCUGUCACGUCUCCCAUUGUUAUUCUCAUAAUUUUCCAUGUUUAUAAUAAAUAAACAAGAUGUUCUCAGAGUGAGUGCUACUGGACUAGAAAUUUACUUGGCACAGAAGAGAAGAAAGCUUGUGUUGUGUCGGCAUGGUUCUCCAUCAGGUAAGCAGCUUGACCAAGGUAUCCCAAUAGAAGGCACGGAAGCACAAGGAACAUAAAUGUAAGCUGCAAAUUAAACAACAUUCUAUAAUCAAUAACUAUAUCUGCUAAAUUGAACAGCUUUAGUGACAUAAAAGAGACGAAUGGUUAUGUCCCAAAAAUAUAUACAUCUAUGUUAUUAUAUUAAAGUAUAACCCCCCAAAUAAAAAAGGUGUUGCAUACCUGAACUGAUCUCACAGAAAAAUAGCAAAGGUCUGCAAACAUUGCCUCAGAACCUGAAUUUCAGAAUUGGUGAUCAGUUGUACAUCUAAAAAAACAGAUUAAAACAAGAACAGGCUUGAUGGCAAAAUCACAAACACAAUCUAUUGUAAAAACUCAAAAAGAAGAUACUAGGACACAAUUAUUAACUAGCGACACAAUAAAUGAACGCGAAGAGGCACUGUAUUCAUGUCAUAAAUCAACACACGAAAAAGAAGACCAGCUUAAUUUUUACAACAGAUUCUGUUACGUAUAAAAGCUCGACCGAGAGUUUUACCUUUUUAAGAUAGUUAGAAGGCAAAAAGAAGUGCAUAUGGCUCUGGAUGAGGCCCCUACUUAAAAGGCUUCACCAUCUACAAACUCGGUGAUUCUAUUUUAUUGAAACUGCAUUAUGCAGGCAGGUUCGGACAAGAAAGGAGAGAAAUGACUUAGAGAUGUUAACUUUCAUACCCUACAUUGGAAAUGAGAAUACAGCAAUGGACUCAAGUUAUUGAGGUGAUCAAAAAGAUAUUCAAGAUGAAAUUUGACCAAACACCACAUUAGGAAGUGAAAUGAUAAUGAUAAAUGUUCCACACAUAGACUUGCUCAGGAAAAAUCAUUUGAUAGACUUCUAGAUCAAGUGGAAUCUGCAAAAUGUACUCAUCAAUGUCCAAGGAAACAACUUAAAAGGCAUCCAUAUCCAAGGGCUGCUUUUUUCCCAAAACUAGAAACAAGUUUCAUGCUACAACAGUAAUAUAAAGAGAAAUCUCUGGAGCUAGCAGACUUUUGGUGAUUCAAUAAACAAUAUAUGUGAGUUCCAAAACUUUACUUCGUUAGUAAAAGCCAAUUUAGAAAGUCAUUCACCCUGCAAAUACCUAUGUGCCCUAGCUCUUGUACACACACUCAAUCUCAUUAUUUUAGAGUCACAGAGGCACAGUGUUCAAAUUGGACUCCCUGAGGGGGUGCUAGAGAAAAUAAGUAAUGGAUGGAUUAAAAAUGAUGUUUCUCAGCAAUAGGUUUGCAGGAAAAUAUUUUGAUGAAGAGGUUUGCAGGAAAAUAUUUAUGAAGUUACAUGUAAAUACAACUCAUGCUGGCCAAUAUGCAAGAAAAUAAGAAGUCCCAACAAACGGAGAGCAAGUUCAACGGAGCUUGCAUCAACCUUCUUGACUCAACUCAACUAAAACCCAAGGAAAGAUAAACACAGAACAAUUCCUUUAGUAUUCUGCCAAUCAAAUUACAUCAGCUAUCAAAAAAAUCAGUUCACGGGUGUCUACCUGUUGCACACAAAAGACAGCCACCAAGAGAGUACCAGGCCUUUGUUGAGUUGCGCUUGAAAAAAUAGUAUAUGUGAACAGGAUUAAAUGCCCUCCAAACACGAGAAUCAUACUUAACGAUGUUAUAGACACCAAUACCACCCAAGGAACAAAACCAUAUAAACAGAGCAGGACCAACUACAAGACCCACUUUACUUGUCCCAUACUUCUGUACACUGAAGAGAAUUACAAGAUAUGCCACCGAGAUCAUCACUACUUGAUCUGCAAAAGAAACAAAAUCUAGAAACUUGAAACAAAAAGGACUUUAAGGUGCACAAUUAUAAAAGAGUGAAGGGAAUUCAUUCUCUCGCCUGAUUUUAGAAAGUUAAAUAACAUAGCAGAUUUGGUUUUAGCAGUUUAAUAACAUUACAAUCAGGUCAUAUUCAAUUCUUUUACAAAUCAUGACUGUUGGCCCAGGAAGGUGAGCCUUGGAGCAUCAGUAAAGUUAGUUGUCUCCAGGUUCGAGCCACGGAAUUAGCCGUUGAUACCUUGAUCCAGAUCAAGGUAAGUCGUUUACAUUAUGCCCUCUUGGCGUGCGGCCCAUCCCCGGACACUGCAAGAACAUAUGAUGCUUGGUGCACCCGGGUGCCCUUAUUUUAAUGUUGUUGGACCAGGUAGUCAGAUUUUCGAUUGUACCAGCUAGCCUAAUAAACUAAUAAGAAUCCCCUUUGGCAACCAAAUUUAUUGAGCUAUCUGACACUAAUUUUGCAAUUAUAAUUAUGGAGUUCAUCACCAUAAGAUGCAAAGAACAAAUAGUUAAGAGUAAUUGCUAACUGGGCAACAACAAUUCCACAUCAAACUACAAAAACAUUAAAAUACGGCCAUCCAAAAAUAAAAGGCCAGUAAAAACACUACAUCAUCAUAUAAUUAGGCCAACAUUAAGGUCAUGAUGGUGAUGUCGCAUAACACACGACUAGUCUUUCUUUAGCAAACUUACUUGUGCCACAUACAACAUACGACAUAAUCAUAAGAUCCUACAAUUACUGAGCUAGGUGAUGGCAGUGAGGUUUACAUCUCGUGGCAUGUAGACUAUCAGAGUAUAAAGCAAAUUUGAACCAUUUCUUGAUUAGCUUUUGUCAUCUUUGCAAAUAAAUCUUACCUUCUAUAUAUAGUUCAAUUUUCACAGACGUCUCUAAGGGGUGGUAUGAUGGAAAUUAUGAGCACAUCACUUUGUAGGACUGUCUCAGUUUGGGAAGUCAACAAUAUUGUACAGAUAAUAUUACCUUGCUUAAUCCCAGAAACUCCAACUUUUAAGCCACCAACAGCAGACAUUACUGCAUUAACAAGAGUUUAAAACUGUCAUUAAGUACACAAAAGAAAUAAGUAAGGCUAAUUUACACAGAAGAAAAAGACCAUCCACUUCUCAGAGCCAACAGAUUUUGUAAAAUGUCCUAGGAUACCUGACAUAGCAGGUGUAACGACACCAUCAGCAAUCACCAUUGAAGUGCCAGCAAGAACUAACAUCAGAAGAAGCUUUUUUAAUGUCAAUGAAGCUUCUAGUCUUUCUUUUAUUUUUAAAGACCUCUCAAGUUCUGGAGAUGGCACCUUCAGUCUAAAGCUUGAUAUGCGAGCAUCUGAUCGAAGUUGAUUCGGGAGAAGAUUAACCUUUGCAUGCCUACAAAGCAAUGAGUACAAAGCAAAGGUACCACCUGCAGUUAUUAACCAACUAAUUGAAUAAAUCAGAAGACACAAAACAUGAAGUAUAAUGUGGUAAGUGUCGUGAAACAAUUAGCAAAAUUUUAAAUGUUAGCUUACCUUCACCGUCAUCAUUGGCCCAAAGAACAAUUAGGACAUAUUUAACCAAGGGAAUGAGGAUUAAGGUAUAUAAAACCAGGGAUAAUGCACCAAGAACAUCUUCAUUGCCAUUGACUGGAGCCUUACUAAACAUCACACUAAACGUAUACAAGGGACUUGUUCCCACAUCACCAAAAACAACUCCAAGAGUCUGAAAGGUUAACAGGAUAGUUCUACCCACUGAGGCAUCCUGCAAAAUGCACGCAAAACUUAGUUAAUUUUGCAUCUAUUGUUCAAAAUCAAAAUCUACUAAGUUUAGCCAAAACAGAAGUCAAAUAAAAACUAUCAUUCUCUGGAAAGGACCUUUACUGAAUGAAGUUAACAGAAAAAGCAAUGUCGUCAAAGGCUCAUUUGGGGCAUGCUUAAGCUCUGAACAAGGUGCAAAAUAGCUAGGCCAGCACUUUGCUUCUCUUAGGCAAUACUUUAGUUCAGGCACCGAGCCGCUAUGCUUACAUCUCAUCAGUGAUUGCCCAAAGGCUAUGUAUUGAAGAAGACAUACAAUUACUAUUUCAAUAUUUCUAUUCAAUUCUUUUAUGCAAAUAAUUAUUGUUUGUGCUUAUUCUUAUUUUAUUGUAUUAUAUGUAUUUUUUUAUUGUCCUCAUCAAUUGCACCUAUUUCCAAUUAAUCUGCACUUUAUUUACGCUAAAAAAUCCAAGAGGCUUUGAAGCUCUUUAUGGUUUUGAUGUCUAAUAAUACUGAGAAGGAGGAACCAUUGAAUAAAGCCAAAAGAAAAUAAAACAUGGAGGCUCUCAAUUUAAGUAUAACCCUAAUCAGAAAUCGAUGCGGUCAAGAAACAUAGGCGGUGUUUGCUUCAAAAUUUUGAAGAAGAGUUUUUACCCAAGAAAAGAUAUUAUUUGUAAAAUUAUUUUUCAGCCGCAAUACCAUGAAAGAAAGAAAUAUCAGAUUUUAGGUGGCAUUGCUUCAAAAUUUUGAAGAUGAAUUUUUGCAGAAGAAGAAAAAGAAUAAGAAAUUGGAGAAGAGUUAUUUUCAAACAAACAUGCCUGUCUUGGUAUUGGCUCAAAAGCAGCUUUUGCAAAAAACUGUAAAGAAAAUUCCCCAAAGUUGUUCCCAACUUGAGAAGCUUAUAAUAACUAAAUGUUUAUAAAUUUAUUAAUCUCGGUGGUGUUUGGUCGAAUUUUAUGCACAGCUCGACUAUUCCACUGGAUACUUGGUACCUCACCCAACACAGAUAAAAGGUAACUUUGUCAACCAAGGCAUGGGCAGAUAACAGAAAAUGGGAUUUGAACUUGGUAUCCCAGAUUUCACUCACUUCAUUGAGGCUGCACCAUGAGUGCAUGUGCAUCAUUCUAAAAUAUUUCUUAUUAGUUUCUGAGUUGGCCCAUUAUGAUUAAGCUGGUGGUAGCUCAUGUGUGAGCGUUAAUACUCCAUCUUGUAGUGCAGUACAGGCUUGUAGAUUCUUGAUCCCAUUUGUGCCUUGAUUACAGCCUAGUUUGCUGACAGCAACAUUUUUCUUUUUAUAAGAUUUGCAGGCAGCAAUAUUAUCAGACCAUUCUCUGUAAGAUGCUGGCUUUCAGCCUUCUUCUUCCUGAAAUACUUAGUCCUGUGCACACAGCUUCAUGUUUCCUGGAUAGUCAUUUCACGACUUAUUUUUCUACAGUUACAGCCAUCAAAUGACUUUUAGCCUGACCUCACUCUAGAAUGGAAAUGUGUCUCUAACAAGAAGGUCACUGACAUUCUUCUAAUUGCUACAAAGUUAUUCCAAGUCACUUGUGGUAACUAGUAAAUAAGCUAUAUCAAGCAAUGGCUGGAUGUGAACUUGGACAAAGGGCAUUAGCUUAGUCAAAAAGAAGUGAAACUUCCUGACAAACUAAAACAACAGUAAGUGAAAGAUUCUCGUGAUUAACCAUCAUAAAGAAGACAAGAGUUUCAUUUGAUAACAUGAGGUCUAUUGAAUUGGAGAGCUGUAAAAUGCAUGACUAGAAGAGUGAAAAAAUCUAGUGGGAGGGAGAGCAAAGAUUCAGUAGCUGAAAGGAGAUGUCAGCUUUGCAGAUUUAACUUAGAACAUUGCCGUCAAUAGAAUUGGAGGAAGAAGAUAAAUGCUUCUCUGAUUACUAAGAAAAGAGCUAAGCAUGCAUCCAAGUUUAGCAACUUUGUCUGUUCAUUCCUUCUAACAAACUUGAGUUUCAUGCUUCUUUCUCUAAGCUUGACUAGCCCUUUCUGUCUAUUCAAGUCCUUUAGUCUUCCCUUUAUCUACCUCUAGUACAUCAGAUGAGCAUCAACAGACUCCACAUUUCAGUUCAUUAGUGGUCAUUGUGAAAAUGAUCUCACAUCAAAUAAAUUGAACAACAAGUUAAUCAUGGAAGGAAAGAAAAAAAUUACAAAGUAGCACCAGCCGCUGGCUAUACUAACAUUAUUAGUAAAACUAACUUCAACUUUCCAUUUCUUCUCAGUUAUCAAUUAAGAAUGACAUUGGCUAAAAUAGAGUGAAUGGAUAUAUAACAUAUCUCAAAUAGUUUACUAUCAGGACAGAAAUUAUUGUUGUAUUAGUUUGGAAAGUAUAAACUGAUAGCAGAUAAGUUUCUAGAAAAUUAGGACGACUAGCAAUGCAAAAUAAAGGAACUACCGAAAGUUCACCUCAAAGUCGUUCUUUUGAGCACCGGGAACUUCAAGAGCUUCGACAUCAAACGAAUCAAUAUGAGGACCAGUACGGAUCAGUUUCUGCUCCGCAUUAUACUCAUCAUCAGAGUCCAGUUCCAUGCCAUUUCGCGGAGUCAAAUCGUCAUCCUCAUCCACAGUAUCCCGAUCACCAUUAUAGAUAUCCGAAUCAUCCUCGUCCUGAAAUACCCACCGUGAUUCAAUCGAGUCCACAGAGGUUAAUCCGCCAUUUCCCCUAUCUCUUUCCCUCUCUAAUCCCUCGUCCGUCAUCUCAACAACACUUGUCAGGCUUCGAUUUCUUCAAUCAACGCAAGUGAAAAGUUCCUCCGGCGAGUAUGUGUAUUCGCAUAACUACGCAUUUAUGAUGUAAUAUAAGCGUUCACUCUCUUAUUGAGAAUGCACAUUGCAACAGUGUAGAAUUUGCAGCUGUAGCUCGAGAGAAUAGGAUGAAUCGAAACCCUAGAAGCUGAGAAGGGUUUGGGUGAGAUUUUGAAAAUCAAAGAUUUUUGCACCUGUGAGUCUUUGGUAUUUUGCUUUGAAUGGAUCGAGCAGUGAAGCAAUACGGGGAUGGCAAGUGGCAACAACCUUUUUGCAACAGCCAGCGGGACAACCACGGAUUUACUUUUUACGCCUUGUUUGGAUGGUUGCUAUCCAUUCUAUAGCAUUCUUGGUCUAAACACGAAUAUUUAUUUUGAUUAUUAGUUAUUACUCCUUGUUUUGGAUAGUUAUUACACAUUGUAUUAUAUUGUAUUAUUAGUUUACAUUUAAUAUUUAUUUUGAUUAUUUUUAAAAUUUUAUUGUACUAGAUUCACUCCACGUGCAUUGUACGUAUAUGACUAUUUUUGAGAGUCUUACAUAACCAUACUGAUUACAAAAUAUAAGUUUUGAAAGUACUAUAUAUAUUUGUCACAAUAUUUUCGAUUUGUUUUACUUUGCAUUCACUAUGCACUAAUACGUGGCUUCCAUCGGAUAUAUUAUAUAAGUGGCUAAGUGCAGCUUGUGCUAAAUUUGGAUGGACUGACCUAUGAUUGCUGCUUCAUGUACCUGACACCGACAUUCCGUAUGCCAAAAAAUUAAGUCACCGGGAAUAUGGCAAUCAUCAAAAAACGUAGGAAAACACUUCAAACUAUACUCAAAGUAGAGCACUGGAGACAUAAAUCAGAUUUGAGUUAGAAUUGAACAUGAAGAAGUUAAAUGAAAAUUAAGAUAAAUCCAAUUCAAGGCACUUUUAAUAGAAAAUAGCAACACCCUUCCACUCAAUUAAUUGUAUAGUGUCGGCAAGAUGAAUUUUCAUUAAGACAUUAUACGUUCAUUUUUUUUGCAGUUUCCUCAGGAUCUUAUAUAGCAUCGGCUUCAGCUUCAUUAAGCUCACAGGCCAUGUUCGUUUUCAAAUUCUUCAGUUUUUUUUCAGUUUGAUUUUGUUUCAGAGUCUUGUUCUCUCCCUUCAACAAGAGUCUAAACACUUACAUGAAAAUGUAUACUGUAGCAGUUAAACAGGACUGAAUGCUCCAUUGAUAUUACUUGAAGGUCCAUAAGCCAACUGGUGAUACCCCUAUCUAUUUCAGCAGAUGUUGGUUUGCAUAGCUCAACCAAAGCAGCCCUUGUCAUUUAUAGCCAAAGCCAUUUUUAUAGUUGAUCUACCUCCCCAGUAGAGAGCCAUUUCUUUUUAAGGUGUGCGAGAUGAAUGGAUGGGAACACUUGAACAUAUCUCUUUUGGCAGAGAAUGCAGCUAAACAGGGCAGAUGCCAUCCUUAUACCUAAUGACUAAAUUCAACUCAUAUUGGAUAUAGAUGGAUUGUGUUUUUUAAUAAAAGAAAAUUAGAUUAGGAUAUGGAUCACAACUCAUUGAUGAAAACUUAAUAAUCUUUCAAUUAUCAAUUCCUUGUUUAGCUAUUCCAUCAAUAUUUGUCACAGUUUAGUUAUAAGUCAUAUUAUUUACCGGAAAAACUCGUCGUUUUUACACCAAACUAAUAAAUGAAUGUCAUAUGUUCGCAUACGGCAACAUAACAUGAUUUGAUGUAAACACCAAGCACCAAGUGCAUAUAAGUCUGAUACUUGACAAGUAAUUAGUACUCAUAAGUGGUGGUUUAUUAUUAUUCCUAAACACAAGAAACUAAAUAGCAGUGUCAUCUGUCAGCCUAUAGGCUGGAUAUCACACUAGUUGUGAAGUGGAAAAAGAGGAUCAAAGUAAGAACCAUUCAGAAUGUUAUAUGCAGUGAGCUUGUUUGCUGCAUCAGUAGCAUGAAUUCCAUCCAACUUACAUAAUUUUGUGGAUCCUUACAAGGCUUUUGUUGUUACUAUUUUUCCAUUUACUUGUUUGUUAUUUCCACAGGGCACUCUGAUUAAAAUUGUAUGCGCCAGCUCCAUAUCCACAAUAUGCUUUGGUUCCAUAUCUUAGCCCUGAUAAAAAAAAGGACUCACACUUCCUCUUUCAAUAUACAUACUCCUUCCAUCAUAACAGAGUUGUGAUUUUACUGUUGAGUAUCUUAAAAGAAAAUAGAAACAAGUAAUACCAUGAGAAGUGGGGUGUUGAAAUAGCUCCAAGAGCACCACAUGAAUGUCAACAUACACAACAUUGUUGUAUGAUAUUAGGCAACCAAACUGGUCUAUAUCAGAAGAGUUAUAAGGCAGUUGCACUAGAAAUGCAGGGUAACAUCCAAUUAGUGCUAGAUUUAGCACCCAAAAUUUAUGGAAGAAGUGGAUUCACAAUUUUUUAAAAGUCAAAAGUAUGUUCAGGCAUACAGAAGUGUUUGUUCGCAAACAGCAGUGCGAGUGUGUAAAAAAAGAAGUGGACUUACAAUGUUUUAAAAGAUAACAAUAUGUUUACUCAUGCACUGAUGUUUCAUUGUUGUGUAAUCUGUGGGCAAUGGAUGUACAAUGUUUUGAAAGAUAACAAUAUGUUUACUCAUGCACUGAUGUUUCAUUGUUGUGUAAUCUGUGGGCAAUGGAUGUACAAUGUUUUGAAAGAUAACAAUAUGUUUACUCAUGCACUGAUGUUUCAUUGUUGUGUAAUCUGUGGGCAAUGGAUGUACAAUGUUUUGAAAGAUAACAAUAUGUUUACUCAUGCACUGAUGUUUCAUUGUUGUGUAAUCUGUGGGCAAUGGAUGUACAAUGUUUUGAAAGAUAACAAUAUGUUUACUCAUGCACUGAUGUUUCAUUGUUGUGUAAUCUGUGGGCAAUGGAUGUACAAUGUUUUGAAAGAUAACAAUAUGUUUACUCAUGCACUGAUGUUUCAUUGUUGUGUAAUCUGUGGGCAAUGGAUGUACAAUGUUUUGAAAGAUAACAAUAUGUUUACUCAUGCACUGAUGUUUCAUUGUUGUGUAAUCUGUGGGCAAUGGAUGUACAAUGUUUUGAAAGAUAACAAUAUGUUUACUCAUGCACUGAUGUUUCAUUGUUGUGUAAUCUGUGGGCAAUGGAUGUACAAUGUUUUGAAAGAUAACAAUAUGUUUACUCAUGCACUGAUGUUUCAUUGUUGUGUAAUCUGUGGGCAAUGGAUGUACAAUGUUUUGAAAGAUAACAAUAUGUUUACUCAUGCACUGAUGUUUCAUUGUUGUGUAAUCUGUGGGCAAUGGAUGUACAAUGUUUUGAAAGAUAACAAUAUGUUUACUCAUGCACUGAUGUUUCAUUGUUGUGUAAUCUGUGGGCAAUGGAUGUACAAUGUUUUGAAAGAUAACAAUAUGUUUACUCAUGCACUGAUGUUUCAUUGUUGUGUAAUCUGUGGGCAAUGGAUGUACAAUGUUUUGAAAGAUAACAAUAUGUUUACUCAUGCACUGAUGUUUCAUUGUUGUGUAAUCUGUGGGCAAUGGAUGUACAAUGUUUUGAAAGAUAACAAUAUGUUUACUCAUGCACUGAUGUUUCAUUGUUGUGUAAUCUGUGGGCAAUGGAUGUACAAUGUUUUGAAAGAUAACAAUAUGUUUACUCAUGCACUGAUGUUUCAUUGUUGUGUAAUCUGUGGGCAAUGGAUGUACAAUGUUUUGAAAGAUAACAAUAUGUUUACUCAUGCACUGAUGUUUCAUUGUUGUGUAAUCUGUGGGCAAUGGAUGUACAAUGUUUUGAAAGAUAACAAUAUGUUUACUCAUGCACUGAUGUUUCAUUGUUGUGUAAUCUGUGGGCAAUGGAUGUACAAUGUUUUGAAAGAUAACAACAUGGUUAGAUGUGAACUGAUGUGCUAUUGUUGCGUAAACUGUGGCCAGGCGCAUCCAAAUGGAAAAGGUGAAGUAGUAGGAGAAAUAAAGUGAGUAGUGUGUGAAAUACAAUGUGGAUUUACAAUCGAUGAUGGCCGCAAAAGCUUUUCUAAUUGUGAAUACCUAGUUGACAGAGUACAGAAUGUAGGUGUUUCAUGGGGAAGAACAUCAUAGUCGUUGUUAUAUAGAGAGGAGUUGUGGUCAUUCAUUACGAAGAAUCUGGAGGUGCAACUAUUGGGAAGAGUUAGCCAUUGGAAUUCUAAAACUGACGAAGAAAUUAUUUUCCAAUUGAUUUUUUUCCAUGUGAUAAUUCUCUGUAUAUUUGCCUGCAAAUAUAUAUUUUAAGUGAACUACCGCAUAAAUUUCAUAUAAAGUUAAACAAUAUAAAUACUUACUUUGACGAAGUUAUGAUGGAUACGAACUCCAUUCUUCCUUCGUCAGCUUCCACAAUAAAUGGAAAAAAUUUUGGAACAGAAAACAAUCCACCUUCCUCCACAUUAGUAUCCAACACAACCUUACCUAAAGGUCCUACAAUUUGAACACGUCCACUUCCUUUGGUAAUGUAACUCAAUUGAUCUGACAAAUUCGCUAUAAAAAUCGGACCAAAUAAAGCACCACCUUCCAAAACUAUACGAUCAGCGCUUAUUCCAACGUCUCCAUUAUUGUACCACCAUGACACUGUUUUCAAGGUAACCGGUAAGGCAUCCCCUUUUUGUAUGUUUAUUACUUCUUUUGAUUCUUCUGAUGAUAUCAGUCCAACAAUACAUUCAAUUAUGAAAAUAUUAUAGUAGAAAACACAUGCAUAAAAUAUCUAAUUAUUAAGAAACAGCAACUUCACAUAUGCCAAAUGUGUGACUCCAACAACUAUUAUAAGUGGAAUAUAUCUAUAUAUGUAUAGCAAGCGUAUCUUGAAAAACAUAAUCAUUUUUUGAUGGAACAGAAUAGUAAGGUGGAGCAAAUCAAAGAGGUUGAAGACGUAACAAUCCUACAGCAAGUUAUUUCUGGCUAAGAAGUGGGAAUUGGCUACUGGACUAAUUGUAGUAGGCACCAAAUCUUUCAGAUUCCGUUCAUGCUUUAUCUGCAGUUUUUGAUGCCAAAAAUGAAAUCCAUCCAUAUGGGGAAGAAAAUAGUUAUUGGUUGGUAUAUAAAGUGGGGGUAAGUGGUCGCGCCUGUUCGUUCAAAAAGAAAGGCGGAACACGUUUGGGAAGGGCAAGGCAGCAGUACGAAGAAGAGCGUGAUAAUUCUUGCAAGUGGUGCGAGGGUGUAGAGUUUGAAAACAGAGGGCAUAAAUUUCAAAAUAUAAUCAGAGGGCAAUUUGGUAAUUUAAUUGAGGGCAAAAUAGUAAUUUAACAUUGAGGUUUGUGGAGUUGGUGCUUUUAAGGUAUAUUAGAUUAUAUCGUUUAAAUUCAUCGUUAGGUAGCGAUGCAAAGAUCUAUUUUGUGUAAUGAUCGAUUUUGUGUGGUUUCGUUGUUACUUUAAUAUUUUCUUCUCAUUUUUAACUUUAUUUAUUAUUUAAUAAUUUUAUUUUACCAUUUGCCUUAAUUUUUCAGGGUAUCCACCAACACAUCCUACAAUUUCUUGUAGGUUUAUCAUUUAAAUUAUAGAUGUAUGAUAUUAUGUAAGGACGGAGAAUGAUACAAUUUAUCUAAACAUAAUUAAAACAAUACAGUACAAUAUAAUAUAAUACAACGCAAUAAAUACAUUAUGAAACAAUACAUAGCAACCAUCCAAACAAAGUGUUAAAUUAUAUUGUAUCGUAUCCUUUAAAUUCAUUGCUAGAUAACGUUGAAAAGACCCAUUGUGUGUGUAUAUAUAGUGUGAUUAUAUCAUUAUCUUUAUAUUUUCUUUUUGUUUGUUUCUUAUCUUUUCAUAGUAGUUCUACUCCAUACCAUACAAUUUCUUGUACAUUUACCGUUCAAAUUAUGAUAAGUGACAGUUUAUGAUGACAAAAAAUUAUAUAAUUUAUCCAAACAUUAUAUUCAUUAAAAUAAUACAACAUGAUACAAUACAUCGCAACAGAAUACAAUAAAUUAUGAAACAAUGCAUGACAAUCAUCCAAAGAAAGUGUCAAACAUGUAAAAUAAAAAUUUGAGGAGAUUUUGGUUUUUGGUGUUGGUGAAAUUACAAAUAACAAAUGAAAAGUAAACUAAAGAAAAUAAAAAAUCUUAAGGCUGAGGUGCGGAUAUUUCACUUUUUUUAAGCAGAUUCAAACCCAAUGUAGCAAAAUUUUUCAUUAGUCCAACAAUAUUCUUCUUGGCUUAUCCCCUCCAUGGCACAACAACCUAAUCACAAAGUAUGAUUCACCAAACUCUUGACAAGAAUUGAGUUUCAAACUCCACAAAAAGAACAUCCUCCUUCAACUAAUAAGAACUCUCUUUUUUGAUAAACUUUUAUAUACUUUAUGUAUUCUUUUCUUAUAUUCUAUUAUAUAACAAAUAGAAUACCAUCAAUAUUUAUAAAUAAGGAAGUCUUCCAUGUAAUAAACAGAGAGAUAAUAAAAAAGUAAAUAGGGUACAUAAAUAAUCUAGAGAUUACAUAAAUUACAAUUUAUAAUGGAGAAAUAAAUAAGAAAAUAAACAGAGGGGCAUCAAAUGUUAUCAACAGACAAAAACACAUGCUACACAAAUGCACUUCACUACACUCGAAUGUAAAAGAAAAUGCAGAUGCUUCAAACAUGAAAAUGGACCAUUAAACCAUUGAAUUUUAAUGCUAUAGAAUGAGAAAAGACAUAUAAUGCAGCUUAAGUCAAAGUGACACUUAAUGUAAUUCCCAGAGGCGACUCCAAGAUUUAGAAUCUACGGGUGUUAGGUCUCUAAAUUCAUUAGUUAAAUUAAUUUUAGGUUCGGAUCAAAUUAUUAAUCUUUUUUAUGUGUGUGACAAAUUAAUCAAUAACAUAUGAAUAAUUUUUUUUUAAAAAAAAAAAAAANNNNNNNNNNNNNNNNNNNNNNNNNNNNNNNNNNNNNNNNNNNNNNNNNNNNNNNNNNNNNNNNNNNNNNNNNNNNNNNNNNNNNNNNNNNNNNNNNNNNNNNNNNNNNNNNNNNNNNNNNNNNNNNNNNNNNNNNNNNNNNNNNNNNNNNNNNNNNNNNNNNNNNNNNNNNNNNNNNNNNNNNNNNNNNNNNNNNNNNNNNNNNNNNNNNNNNNNNNNNNNNNNNNNNNNNNNNNNNNNNNNNNNNNNNNNNNNNNNNNNNNNNNNNNNNNNNNNNNNNNNNNNNNNNNNNNNNNNNNNNNNNNNNNNNNNNNNNNNNNNNNNNNNNNNNNNNNNNNNNNNNNNNNNNNNNNNNNNNNNNNNNNNNNNNNNNNNNNNNNNNNNNNNNNNNNNNNNNNNNNNNNNNNNNNNNNNNNNNNNNNNNNNNNNNNNNNNNNNNNNNNNNNNNNNNNNNNNNNNNNNNNNNNNNNNNNNNNNNNNNNNNNNNNNNNNNNNNNNNNNNNNNNNNNNNNNNNNNNNNNNNNNNNNNNNNNNNNNNNNNNNNNNNNNNNNNNNNNNNNNNNNNNNNNNNNNNNNNNNNNNNNNNNNNNNNNNNNNNNNNNNNNNNNNNNNNNNNNNNNNNNNNNNNNNNNNNNNNNNNNNNNNNNNNNNNNNNNNNNNNNNNNNNNNNNNNNNNNNNNNNNNNNNNNNNNNNNNNNNNNNNNNNNNNNNNNNNNNNNNNNNNNNNNNNNNNNNNNNNNNNNNNNNNNNNNNNNNNNNNNNNNNNNNNNNNNNNNNNNNNNNNNNNNNNNNNNNNNNNNNNNNNNNNNNNNNNNNNNNNNNNNNNNNNNNNNNNNNNNNNNNNNNNNNNNNNNNNNNNNNNNNNNNNNNNNNNNNNNNNNNNNNNNNNNNNNNNNNNNNNNNNNNNNNNNNNNNNNNNNNNNNNNNNNNNNNNNNNNNNNNNNNNNNNNNNNNNNNNNNNNNNNNNNNNNNNNNNNNNNNNNNNNNNNNNNNNNNNNNNNNNNNNNNNNNNNNNNNNNNNNNNNNNNNNNNNNNNNNNNNNNNNNNNNNNNNNNNNNNNNNNNNNNNNNNNNNNNNNNNNNNNNNNNNNNNNNNNNNNNNNNNNNNNNNNNNNNNNNNNNNNNNNNNNNNNNNNNNNNNNNNNNNNNNNNNNNNNNNNNNNNNNNNNNNNNNNNNNNNNNNNNNNNNNNNNNNNNNNNNNNNNNNNNNNNNNNNNNNNNNNNNNNNNNNNNNNNNNNNNNNNNNNNNNNNNNNNNNNNNNNNNNNNNNNNNNNNNNNNNNNNNNNNNNNNNNNNNNNNNNNNNNNNNNNNNNNNNNNNNNNNNNNNNNNNNNNNNNNNNNNNNNNNNNNNNNNNNNNNNNNNNNNNNNNNNNNNNNNNNNNNNNNNNNNNAAAAAAAAAAAAAAGAAAACAACAACGUACCUACAGCUACUUAGAUACAAAAGAAUUUUUUUUCACUAUUUUGUGGCUGAAGUAAAAAAAUAAACACUCAUGGGAUUUGUUUUGACCCCAUGAAGUGAGGCUCUCAAAGUCAAGCCUUUAGCACCACUAGCACCAAAGAAAACUUUUGUUCUCUAGGUGGCACGUUUUUUAUUUAUACGUAUAUUAUAUAUAUAUUUUUAAAGUUUCUGUCAAAGUUUGCGGGUGGCGUGGCACCCCCACGGGCCUUAAUAGAUCUGUCCCUAGAAAUUCCCUCAAACAAUAUUUUAUAAUAUUAAAAUGCUCCUAAAAUCAAUAUUCAAUCUUUUAUGUAUUUAUAGUUUUAGGAAUUAUUUUUUAUGAGAGAUAUUUUUUUUUUUCUAAAUAAGAUAAUUGAAAGAAAAAAUAUAUUUUUUAUUCAAUUGCUCCCUCUACUCAAUAAGAGCUGUCCACUUUUGACUUGAGGCAUGUCUUAAGACAUUCUAAUAUUUACAUGUAAUGCUUGAAAAAUAUAUUAGAUCUUGAAUAGUAUCUAAUAGCAAAAGUAAAAUGAACACAAAUAAAUAAAUAAUUUAUUAUUUUUCAAACUAGACAAGUGUUGUCGUAUGUUUAUUUUUAAUAUAACAAACAAAUAAAGAUAAACGGAGGAGAUAAUAAGCAAUUAGUCAGAAAAAAUUACUUCCUCCUUAAAUUUUUACUAAUUUAACUUUCAACUAAAUUUAUAAUCGCGCAUAUCUGAAUUAUCUUAAUUUUAUUUUUCACACAUUAUCCUUCACUAAAGCCACUUACACCUUGUCUUGGAUGACUUCAAAUUAUGAUUCUAUCUUUCCUAAUAUAUUCAAACAUUGAUUAAUGUAUUCUCAUUUUGUACCUUCUGUCUUUUGAGCAUGAACAUUCUUGAUUGAUCAAUAAUCUGACUUAUAAAAUAUAAUUAGACUAAUCAUCAUUCUGUAGAAUUUACUUUUAAAUUUUAGUUCUACGUUUUUUGCCGUACAAGACCCAGAUACAAUGCUCAAUUUCAUCUACCUUAUAUUAAUUCAGUGAUAUCUUUAUCAUUCUUCCUAUUUUUUGGAUAACAAACUCAAGAUAUUUGAAACUUCCUUACUCAUGAAUCACGAGUGUAUUAAGCCUCGAUUCCUCUUCAAUCUUUUGUGUUCAUUGCUGAACCUGUAUUUCGAGUACUUUUGGUCAGGCUCAACUUGAACCUUUUAGACUCUAAGGCUUAUCCUUCAAACCUCUAACUUAGCAUUAACUUCGCUCUAAGUCUAUUGUCUAUCAUAACUAUAUCAUGCAUAAGUAACAUAUACCAUGACACCUCAUUUGAAUUUAUCACGUUAAUACAUAUGACAUCAAGGCAAAUAAAAAUAGGUCAAAGGCCAAUCUUUAAUGUUGUCCCAUCAAAUUUGAAAAGUGCUCAAAGUCUCCUCCCGUUAUCAUUAUUCAAGAUUUGGCUCCAUCGCACAUGUCAUUGAUAAAUCUAAUAUAUACUAUAUGUACACCUCUAGCUUUCAGGCAUCUCAACAAAACCUGAUUGGGCUUGGUUGAGUUAUUUUCUGGGUUGAUGAAACACUACAUGCAAGUUCUUCUUUUCCCUACUCUACCCCUCCCCUUACAAGAUAAAUGACACGUGACUGAACAUUGCGACAUGAAUUUGAAUUUGUUCUAAAAAUUAACCACUCCCAUCUUCGGCUUCAUUUCUACUAUUUUUUUCAAACUUUCGAAAUGUGAAUUUGGAAACUUGAUAUCUGUAUAUAUAUUCUAAUUUCAAAGUCUUUAUCUUAUUGAUAAGGGAAAAUCGUAAUUGUUACCCUUUGAGUGCGCACAGGGUAAAUCCCGCUUUCAUGUAAUAGCUUACAAACCACACAUGAGAGGUAGCUUGCACUAGACAAGCUCAGUGCGAUGAGUUCGACCAAAAAGAUAAGCCCAUUAGUUUUGCUGGUAAGGAAUUUUGAACUUGAGACCUACAACAUGGUUUCAAAUGUCAUUUUUGUUCCAACACAAUAAAAUUAUUGUACUACAUUUCCAUUCUCCUAAUAUCGUUAUCACCUGAAAAUAGCAUCAAACAACUUUUAUAGACACUCUAUUAUGCUCCUAAAAAAUUCCAUGGGAAAUCUCAUUUGGCCCAAUUUCUCUACUCUACACAUCCUACAAAUAACAUCUUUAAUAUCCUUACUCUUUAUAUAUUUACAAUACUUCGCAUCACAACGCCUUUUUGAAUAUUUCACAAUGUCUAAUAUUUUAAAUUCAAUACAUCUAAUAUAUUCUUUUCCAUAAAAUAGAAAGAAAUAAAUUAUAAAAAAAUGAUACAUUCAUCAAAUACAUUUCAAUAUCACAAAAAAAAAAGGCAACAUUCCUCUCAAGGUAAAUUCCUAAAUAUAUUUCUAUUCUAUGUUUAUAAUAUUUGUCGAGGAAAAAGGAACCUAGAGGGGGCAGGUUUUAAUCAUAUGCCAACAAGCUGGUCCAUUUUGUCACAGGAGGAAACUAGAAGGGCAGUUUGGUGAAAUCGAGAGAUCUUUUUGGCAUAUAAGUAUUGCCUCUUUCUCUAUCUGUUUUUCUUCAAGAAGGUUCUUGAACGCUCUAAAAUUAUUUCUCUUAAAGGGUGACGAAACCCUAGCAGAUCGAGCGAAGCAGAAAACGCCGGAGAAAAAAUGUCGCACUUCGGAAGAACUGGCCCUCCGGACAUCAGUGAUACGUACUCUCUCCUUGUCCUCAACAUCACCUUCCGUAAGCGUGUUUUCUUUUUCCCUUUGAGAGAUUUCCGUUUCCGAUUAUUCUUGUCUUGUUUGUUUAUUGGAUUGUUGUUUCUUUGCUGUAACAGGCACCACAGCUGAUGAUCUGUUUCCUCUUUUCGACAAGUAUGGGAAAGUUGUCGAUAUCUUCAUUCCCCGAGAUAGAAGGUUCUUGAAUCUCACUUUGCCUUUUUUUCGUUAAGUUUUAUGCGGCCCCAUUCCUCAAAACACGAUGAAGAUUUUUUUUUCCUGGAGGAGGAAAAAAUCAAAUGAUUUCUUAUAUAGUGUAUAGUAUAACUAACUGUAGCGUUCUUCCUCAUAUAAAUAUUUAUCAAGCAACUAGUAUGAUCCGGAUUUUGGUAGGUGUGUUAUAUCCUCUACAAGACUCUCCAUUCUGCUCUUUUCAGGACGCUUGCCCAAAAUAAAUUAAUUAGUAUUCAGACUAAAUUAAUUGUAAUGUCUUAUAAGAUUGUGAGCAGAUUUGAAAUGUCUUUCCAGUGAUGACCUUAACCAUUUUUAGUGCAGUUUUAUCCCAAAAGAACAGGAAAAGAUGAACAUGUCCGAAGUUGUUUUUUCAUGGCCUUUCUUAAUGGACAUAAAUAAUGGACGAGCUUAAAUUCUGAAAAUGUUAGUUUGUGGUGUACUGAUCUGCCAAAGAAUCUCUUAUCUUACCUGUGACACAAUGUGGCAACUAAAAGAAUUGGAACAUAGAGGAAUUACUUAUUGUAUUUUAAAAGUCCGUGUGACUCAGUACAUGUGCAUGUCUGAAUGGUUUCUAAACUUCCCUUGUCACUUCUCUAUAUUUAUAUUUAUGGUGGUCUUGUAACAGGACUGGUGAGUCACGUGGGUUUGCGUUUGUUCGUUACAAGUAUGCUGAGGAAGCACAGAAAGCUGUAGAUAGGCUGGAUGGUACUUCACAAUUUUUUUUUUUAAUCUGAAGCUGUUCCUUGCAUUUACUGCAAAUUUAUUUCUUGUAUGGUGUUCUGAAAAUCCUGUAGUAACUAGUGAGCGGGUUUAUUUUUUGUAUGGUGUUCUGAAAAUCCAGUAUAACUAGUAAGCUCUCUUAGGAGGCUUUUUUUUAGUUGAGGUAACUAGUUGGGUCAUAUAACUGAGCAAAAGGAAAGCCUAGUUCAUACUGAUCUUAAUUUUUACAGCUUAAAUUAAGAGCCAGCAGAUCAUGGUCGUUGGGAGGUUGUUGAUGGUGGGUGGAAAUAUGUCGCGAUGGUGAGAAAAUAGAAAUUUGUCAAACCUGAUAGCAGCAGGACUGAAUUAAGAGACAAUUGUUAUAAUAUCUUACAGAGUGAAACAGUGUGAGCACUGUCUUUUGUAUGCUAAUGUCUUACUGCAUACAUCCUUGUUUCAUGUGAUGUGCAAAUGCUUAACAUGUCAGGUACUUAGGUUACACACUUAAAUCCGAAGGUAGUGGCAUAUCUGAACUGAGAAAAUAGUAUAAGAUGAAACCGCCUAGGUUCUUACCUUUUGCCAGAUUACUCGAUUCAACUUAUUUCUGCUUUUGGAUUUUCCUUAUGUCGACCACUCUUCCCUUUUUAGUUGCACUCUAAACAAUCUAGCCCUUGGUAAAUGUGGCAUUGCUUGAAAGAAAUUCCUUCCCUAUAAAUUGCGGAUUUAAUGUUAUUUCAUAGGAUAACCUCAAAUCACUUAUCUGACUUGUUGGGAUGGAUUGGAUAUUCCUUUCCCCCUCCUGGUACUACCCCUGUUCCCACCAAUCUUGGUUAGGGUUGCCAAUUUACAUGAACUAUGAUUAUCAAUCACACGAUGAAUCGAUGUAUGAGGAUGUAAAUGAAUCAAACUGCUUGUUUCCAAUAUCAGUGGCUGAAAUAGUUGGUAGAUGCACAUCUUGGGCUGUAGUUAGAUAGGUUGGUAGCUGUUAAGAGAUGGUCCACUUGGACUAUUUGCAUGUGAAAAGUAAUGUACCUUGUUUAUUUCACAAGUUAAUUUAUCCAACAUUCUCAAUGUUCGUAAGUGACCCCCACCCUCUUUGUUUCCAAAUCAAGACGAAGCACCGAUUUGGUAGCAUCUUGGUAUUUGCUAGAUUUAAACAAUUGUUAAACAACAGCAGUAGCGUACCUAGUGAAAAUCCCAACUACCUUAUAGAGAUAGAGAGGUGGUUUUUGGAAGACCCUCGUCUCAAAAAUCAUCCCUAACACCAAAAAAUACUAUAUAUGAAAUGAUUAGAAUGAACAAUAAAUGAAAAUAUAUAGUGACAAUAAAAGUAACAAAAUAAAUGAUGGAUAAUAACAACACAAUAUAGAUUUAAACAAUUGCCAAGUUAGUGCUUCAAAGUUCUCAUAAUAGCCAAGUUGCUCGGGCUCGGGUGCGGGUAUCUGAGACGGGUGCGAAUUCGAGAGUCUGAUUCGGCAAACUCUAAAUUUUAAGAUUUUGGGGGGUGCAAAUGCGAGUGUGGAUGCGGGUCCGGGGAUUUGGCUAAAAAAUUUCAACAUUAUAAAUUAUAGAAUAGAGUUACAAAGCUAUUCUAAAUGUGAGAUAUUUUGUAAAAUGUAUAGAAUAUUACAUUUGUUUAUGCCAUGGAUGGAAAUUUUGGCAACACCAAUUUAUUAUUAUAUUUUUGGUAUAUCUAGGGAAUAAGUAUUCAUUAUAUACAUAUAUCGAUAUAGAAAGGUAUUUUCUAAAAUAAAAGAUGAUGUUGAUAGAUAUACCAAUAUAAUUGUAGGGAGUAUUAAGGAAUUCUACCUGAAAAUAGAAACAAACUGAAGCAAUUAUUAUAAAUUUUGGGCCCAAAUUUGAAAUAAUUUAAAUUGAAACAUGCAGCCCAUAAAGGUUGAACCAGUGUUGUGAAAGGCGAUCGCCUUGUCACCAAUGACGGGAGGCGAGACGACCUUCAUCGCCUUAUAGCUUUUAUGGCGAGGUGUUCUUCAAAAGGCGAUGCCAUAGCGACAAUGGCGGCGAAGGCGAGAGGCAAAAAAGACGAGAAAGCCGUCGCUUUUUAUGUUUUCUUAAAAAUCAAUUUAGGGUUUUGAAAGCUAAAAGAUAAUUUUAAGAUUUUCUUUCCAAAUUUGCCCAAUUGCACUAUUACACUUAGAAUUCAUCUCCAACCAAAUGACUCAACUAGACUUCUCUAGCAACCAGCCAAACUUUUCCUUUUCCUGAGACUCCAAAGUCCAAACCAAUACGUACUUCUUUUUUCCUUCUUGAGAUUUCUUCUUAUUUGUCUCACUGUUUUGACUUUGGUUGUCUUUUUCACAUUCAUGUUCUAGACUUUUGUAGUAUCUACUAUCUAUUUUUAGUUUUUGAAUUCAAAUAUUUGCUACUAUAUUAUUGAGAUUGAGAUUUUGAUUAUUUAUAUAUAAAAUUAAAUGUUUUAAUUUUUUGGUAUUAAUUGACGCCGUACUUCAAAAGGGUGAGUGCCUCGCUGCUCGCCUCGCCUUCUGGAGAGAUAGACCCUUGUCACACUUUGUCGCCUUCUUUCUGUCCAGAACACUGGGGUAAACAAGACCUUUCAGAAAAACUUUACAAACCCUAAUUUUAUAUUAUUUCAUCUUAUUCCUACUUUAUCUCUCUCAAAAAGUUAAAGAGCUGCAGCCCCUCACCCCUCGUCUCUCUUCUCUUUUUCCGUCUAAAGGAUGAAGGAACAAGAACACCUAAACCCUAGAACCUCCAAAAAUGCUGCCGUCUGAGUUCUUGACUCCGGUCAAAGUAUCUGAUGGGAUUGACCGAAUCGGAGACCCACCUGCCGUCUGCACCUUGCCAGUACUGCGUCGAGACAGGUUUGGCGACAAAAACGAAGAGUUUGCGCAACAUAGAAUAAUGGUGCACAAAUUGAUUCCAGAGUCUCCAUUGUUCUGCUAAGUCUCAGCAUUAGCUGCAUAUUGUCUUGCCAAGGGAAAUCUCUUUUCAACCUUAUCUUUAUGUUUUGAAUGCAUUUUCUCUUGUUGAAUAUGUUUAGAGAUAAAUAUGUUAACGAGUCUGAACUGUAUGGAUUUUUGGCAGGAAGAGUGGUUGAUGGACGGGAAAUGGCUGUUCAAUUUGCCAAAUAUGGGCCAAAUGCUGAACGAAUGUGAGUAGCUGGUUCAUUUUUGCAAGAAUAUUAUAAGCGUUUGCUUUGGGCAUAUUCUACUGGAGCUUUGAUUGAGUUUCAUGCUUCUGUCCUCUCUAUUUUUAUUACUUAAAGGACCUUUCGGUUCCUCUAGGAUAAUUCGACACUACCAUUUGACGUAUUGUUUAUGGACUAAGUUUCUGAUCUCAUGUUUUCUUGAUCUCAGUCACCAAGGAAGGAUCAUUGAGAAAGUGCCUGGAAUCAAGGGAAGCUCAAGAAGCAGAAGCCCUCGUAGAAGGUAGCCCUUUCCAACACCAUUUUGUUCUUUAAGCUCAUUUUGUGUUUGUACAGACAUUUACUAUGUUGAUUUUCAACCUGUUGAUUGUUUUUUCAAAUUGAACCUUGCCCUUUGCUUGCCUGUUUUGACUACUUAAGUUGACAUGCCAGGCCCUUGUAGGGCCAUUACAAAUGUAAGGUCGAAGUGUGAACAACCCAAGUGGAUGAGCUUUGUUAGUAUUUGGCAUCAAGAUGUACAGUUACCUACAUAGGGAAUGAGAAGGUGGCUAUGCUGUAAACUGGCACAAUCUGCUUCAUCAUGACUAACAGUAGUAAGGUUGACUAGAAUUUAAAGGUCAAUAUGUGAGACUGAAAAAUUGUUGAAUGGAUCUGAUGUGGUUAUUCAAUGGAUAGAGUAAAGAUUGAAGUGGCUGUUUGGGGGGACUUAGUGUUGGAUUGUGUUUAAUUUACGGUAUGCUUAGGUUGCCUAGUUAUGGUAAUACUGCUUACAUAACUGAAUUUGCUGAAAAUGGUCAUGCAUCUGGUUAAAUUGGAGUUGUCCAAGUGGGUCUGACAUGUAGCAAGUCAAUUUUAUCACCAUUGCUUACUUGGUUAUUAUUCUUGUUUCUUUGCUAAUUUGUGGCUGUAUGCUUCUACUGUUAACACAUCUUUUCACCACUUUGGUGGUUGAAGAUCUCAGUGACUAGCAAGAGAAAGAUAAUGGAGGGGAAGAUUUCCUAGGAAGAAAACUAGGCGAAGAGAAAGAGGAACAGUAAAUACUUUGUAUGAGAUUUUUAUAAAAAUCUGCAAUUCCCGAUAUCGUGAUUCUAUCAUUCUGAGUUGACGGUGCUUGAUUUCUGUUCCUUCCUGCUUCGGUGUUCUUGGACGUGUGAUGUUCACUGACAAUUAGUUUUUGUGAUAAAACUGACCACAAUUAUAUGAAUAAUAUUCAUGUCUUAAUACAAAGUAGCAACAGUGGGACUAAUCAUACUAGGUAUGCAACAGUGGAACUAAUCAUACUAGGUAUGCAACAGUGGAACUAAUCAUACUAAGUAUUUUAUAUUGUCCCAUACUAGGUAUGCAACAGUGGAACUAAUCAUACUAAGUAUUUUAUAUUGGUGAUGUGCUGAAGUAUUUUAUUUUCAACAAUUUUUCUGAAAUUAGCUUGAAAUAAAACCUUUUUAAGAUGUUCUCCUCCUGUUUGGUUGCUGCAUGCAUCUUCCUCACUCUGUUUCUAUCUUCAUUGGUAUCAUGUUUUUUGGGGAAAAGGUGUCUUAAGGGCUGACAUGGUUUCUGGAUUAGCAGAUGCCUUAGUCAUAUGGCCAUGUGGAAAGUACAAAAGUCUGGCUAUUGCAGGCAAAUAAAAUUUAAGAUUUGACAGUUCACUCUACUUGUGUUUUAUAUCUUUUUUACAUCUUCAAACAUAUUUUUUCAUAAGUUUUAUAGCCGAUGGAAGACUUCAUUGAGAAUGCUAUUAGGUUAUGUUAAUGUUGUUGCGUAUAUGAUCAUUAAAUACCUUCUUCUUGGAGUAGGGAAGGAAAUUGUUUGAUACUCACAAAACACAAUUUAAAAAAAUCCAACAUUUCUAUGCUCAUCAAGUGCCUGACCUGCAUAUACUGGUGAAGCUAGAAGUGUGCUGAUUUGUUAUCUUGUGUAGUUUUGCCUGGAGUCUCAACCUGUUAGCUCAAAAUGCAAGUUGAAUACUGUGUUGCUAAGACAACACACAUGGGGAACUGUUCUAGGGAAAGCUUGUCUAUAGUUAUGUCCAGAUGGUUUUUUAGUUGUGGAAAUAUUGUUGGUCUGAUGUACACCUGGUGAUUGAUCUUGGGUUGUUUUCACCUUCAACAGAUACCGCGAUGACAAUUAUAGAGAUAAAGGAUACAAGAGAAGUAGGAGCCGAAGUGUUGAUCGCUAUGAGCGUGAUAGGUAUCGGCGGAGAGAGCGGGAUUAUCGCUAUCGGUCCAGGAGCCGCAGCUUAAGUCCAGACUAUGAUCGUGAUCGUGGCAGGGGGCGCCACAGAAAACACUACAGGCGCAGCCCAUCAUAUGACAGGUUUUCAUUUGAUCUAUUAUGUACGAUGUGUAUUCUCUUGUUUUUGCAUUAUAUCAGGCGAUCAUUAUGAAAUGUAUUGCAGUGCCUCCCCAGCUCGGCGUAGCCCGAGUCCUCGCAGGAAGGAGUCUCCUCGUAGAAGCUUAUCACCCACAAAAGAAAGUCCUGGGAGGGGUGUUCGCAAUGAACGCUCUCCAACUACUCGAAGCCGUUCGCCUCCAAGUCGAGCAAUGGAUUCACGAAGUCCUUCUCCUCGUGUCGAUGAGGUGAUCACGCGAGCUUUGGUCUGAUGGAUCCUAUUUUUUCUGAUUAAAUCCACUUGUCAGGCCAUUUAUGCUUUUUCCCCCAUUUUUCAGGAGUAAUUUUCUGGUGGCAUGAUAUGGGAACAAGCAGAAAAGUGGGUCAACUUUAGCUGUCUUCUGAAUGUGUUAAAAUACAAAAUGUGAUGCAAUUUCUGCUGAGUAUUAGCUGACAUUUUGGUAGGACUGGUCUCCUGGUGUUAAAUGUUUUUGUACUUUACAUGUUGCAUGUCUUUGCUAUCUUUAGAUUUUCAAUAUUAUGGUACUAGGUUGUGAACUUAAAAUGAGUCCUGAUGCUGAAACUAUAUCGAUGGACCUCUUAGAACACUUUUUGCAGUAUGCUUACAACUUUUUCUUCUUUAUAUUCCCUCCUACUGCUGCACUUCUCAUUACAAGACAAAGUAUGCUUUGUAUGGAUGUACUAACUUUGUAACCUACGUCGUGCUGGGUUUUAUAGUUUUGAUCGAGAGAAGGUUGGUGAGGUUGAUAUCAGAUGAUGCUGAUGCUGAUGUGGCUCUCAACCCUCAUAGUAGCUUAUAGUUAGUACGUGAAAUUUGAGGAGGCUGAUUGUUAGAUUAUGUGUUGAUUGUCAGUGCUGAUGGUUAGCUGUUGAUAUGCACAGCUUCUGAUGCUGUUUGUAGUUAAUGUAUUUGCGAUGCAUGAACAGCAGAUGCUGGCUGGAGAUUUUCUGUGCACCUAUAAUAAUAUAUUGGGUAAGCCUUUUUCUCUGGUCAAGAGCUCACAAGUCUCAUCAUGUUUUCACCCAUAGAAAAGGAGCUCAUCACAUUCUAUUAUUAAAACCUAAAAAUAAGCUUCAUCCAAGGAUUAGUUUUACCAAAAAAUUUAAUCUCUCUUUCUAGCUUUUACUUUCUUUUCUUCCUUUAUUUUUGGGUAGCUUUUUGCAAAGUUUGGUGCUUAUAAAUUCUCUAAAGAGGGAUGGGAUGCAACUGGUUCUGUAGGAUGGACAGAGGAUGAAUCUACCUCUGUGCCUGAUGCUGCUAGUGAGGUGUCCAAUUGUCCGGGCUGAUGCUAGUUGUCGUACGUGCUGGCCCCUGAAUAGGUUGAAUAUAUUAUCUGGUCUAUUUUGCCCCCAACAUGCAUAACAGAUGAACAUCAUACCUUAAACCAGCCAGAUGAUCGUGUCUUGUUGUGAUGCUUUUGUUGACAUUUUCUUGCUCGUGGAUCGUGAUUGUAGCUGAACUAAAGGCCUGGUUAAUUGUCUUCGAAAAUCCUUGUAGCUUCUGGGUGCACCUGAUCUUCCAGAGCUUCACUUGAUCUGUUGUCCUUAAUGUAGCUGAUGGUCUCCUUGGUGUUACAGCUUCAGAUAUUUUUUUUUUUGGGUGCGUGUGUUUUGUGUUCUUUAUGUUUUUAACCCCCGUGGCUCUACCAGGUCAAGGUUAUUAUGGAUUCUGUUUUAAACCUUAAAAACAAAUGGCUUUGUUGAUUGAAUCCCUCAACUAUAUCCCCCUUUGGUCUAACAGGUUGUGGGGGUCCCUGGGAUAGUUAAUAUAGAUGAAGUCAGUACUUCCUAUUUCUGUUGAAGGCUUAGUAUUAUUGCACACUUGGUCUAUUGCGGGAUAAAUUAUGGGUGUCUUGUGCAUCUUAAUGUUUGUUGUGUUAAUAAUUGGCGUAUUAACUGGCAUUGCUCAAGGUAAAAGCUGUGCUGAUUUUUACAAUUUGUUUGUAGUGCUCUAAAAUAAGGAGUGGUUUGUCUCUGCGUUCUAUGCUGCAUCUAUCUCUGUUCUAGUGUUGCCACGAGUUGUGGUUACUGCUUACCAUUCAAUUUGACUGCCAAUUGCCAUGCUUCGGUUUUCUGCUGUUAUGCCCUUGUGUGCACCUUGUUCUGUUCUAUAAUUUUAGGUGAUUUGACAUUUGAUAUUUUUCUUAUGUAAUUUGUUUAGCGUCAUAUAGAGAAUUGGUCGAAGGGCCCUCAUAUUUGGAAAGUUACCAAUUACUUAUUUUUGGAGAAAGGAUUUCAUCAUGAAAAUGAUUUGGUGAUUACGGAGCUCUUUUGUUGACACCAUUUUUAUUUAGUUCAUGUACUUUAAUUGGCCUCCCGACGUGCUUCUCCAUCUUCCAAUACUUAAAUAUAACAAAUAUCAUCUUUUAUACUGUGGGCUUAACUGGUUAAAUUGUGUAACAAAUAUCAUCUUUUAUAUUUUGGGCUUGAUUGGUUAAAUUGUGUAAUUUAGUUUGGAUGAUCACCUUUUAGACCGCUCGUUAGUAAUAUUGACCAUUUGAGAAGUGGAAAAUGGCAACAUUUCAUCACAGUUUGAACCGAAAAUCACUACUAUUAACAUAUAUGGGGCAAGUGAAAUUUCAAGAAAUUUUCCUAUUUAGCGCACAGAGCUUGUAUUUCACAUGACAGCUUGUAUUUCACAUGUAAAGCUUCGAACUGUAGCGCAUUGCGCUCUAAUUUCAUGUUGUAUUUGGAUAAAUUUUAUUCCUGCAUUUAAGUCAAUUUUUAUUUUUUGAAAAAAUUAUUUGUGGGUGGAUGUAAAAUGAUUUCAGAAUUAAGAAAUAGUAUUGGAGGGAUGAGGAAUAAAUUAUGGGUAAAUUCAAGGAUCUUUUAUUAAAAGCUAAACAUUAAAUAUCUCAGAACAGUGGCUAACCAUUUAUUGGGGGCUCAUCGGAAAAGUUGCUACUGGAGUUACUAGGGGUAUUGAGAGGUACCUUGCAAGGUGAAAGUUAAGAAGGUUGUUAUUACAAAGUGGUUGGAGCGUAUGGAUGAGAAUAAAAAAUGAAGGCUUAAGGAUAUCUAUAAAAUGACAAUCAUGAGUGCUAAGACAGUAAACGUUGGAAGUUGAAGCACCUUCUUUACUUCAGGAAUGUGGGAUUUGUCGUUUCACUAUUACAGUAAUUUAGAACGCCAGCUGCCUGUGUUGGCAAGAAAAGACAAUUAUAAUAAGGGUUAAUAGAAUCUCGAGUCUUUUUGUUGUUAAAAUUUUGGGGAAGAUUUGGACUUAUCUUCGGGAUCUAACUUUGCCUUAACCAAGAAAGUUAUUAAAGAGCGGUACACAUUAUUGCAGAGAAUUUUUGAGAGCGAUUGUGUAAAUUCAUCUAAUUUUUUUUAAUGAUUUGGAUACACUUCAUAAUGCUUUAAAACUAAUGGAUCGUACUCAGCAAAGAUGUCAAAAUUAGUAUACAGUUGUCACGUGCUUUCUGUUUGUGUCCAAAGUUACGUAAGGUGAAUGGGUGUCUCGUAUUACUGUUAUGCACAAUAACUCGACAUUACAACAACAACAUAUCCGGUGAGAACCCAAAGAGAGGAUUUGGCACAAUAUGCAUGCCAUUUAUAUUCUAAGAAGGAUACUGAAACCAUAAAUACGAAGGAGGACCCUAAGACAGCCUAAUGACAGGAUUGAAUCUUCAAGCCAUGAUCUUAAUUUCACUUUUCCACGAGGUAGAGGUUCAAGUUAAUGAUUUGUAAUGGAUAUCCUAACACAUAUUUGAUUGUCGGUUGUGGUACUGCUAUUGUACCAUUGAAUGAAGAAAGGACGUAGAAAAUAAAAGUAGGAUGCAGCAAAAUUACUGGAAUAUCCUACUUUCUAGUACAGCAUUAGAAACCAAAAUCUUGUGUAAUAUACAACGAAUUGGUACAAGAUGACAUGGUAAUUACAAUCAUAGUAGAUCCUUCUUACUCAUUCAUCGGAGGAAUGGGAGCCUUUGCCUCCAAGUGUCUGAAUUAUGGCCUCUAGAAGUUUGAUUUCCUUAUCUCGCUUGGAUAUCUCUUCUUGCUUUGCACGCAGCUCUUCCAUGUGUAGCUCAAAUACUCCUGCAACCACAGAGGAACUUGUAAGUGCAAAUCCAUUUAUGGCUGGAAACAACGAGACCUGAUUCUGUCGUUUCCAAUUCUCUGAUGCAAACACUCCAGAUGACUGAUUGUGUAUUAUAAUGUUCACUUUUGCUUUACAAACAAACGAAACCAGUUAGGUUAACACAGAUAAAAACUCUCUUGGCUAGAGAGAAAUUAAUAUUCCACUAUGCUCGCCAAGCAAAAUUGAUUUGACCAACAUAAUUCAUAUAGCUGUAAUUUAGUGUAGUAGAAGUUCAAAAUUUCAUCAGUACAUACUUGUGGUAUUUUCCAGCUCUCUUGUAACCUCUUGUGCACGCAGUUCAGCAGCCUUCUGAGCUGCCUCAGCCUGUCUUUUCUCAGUCCGUGCAUGCGCAGCAGCAGAGAUAGCAUUAUCUAAUUCUCGCUCUAAAGUCUGAACUCUUUGUUCAAGAACCUGUAGCCAUAGAAUAGUCAUUACUUUCAUCAAUAGUUGGAGCAAGAGCGCAACAACAAUUACACCUUCUCGCAAACAAGUAGAGGCUGGCUAAUGAAUUUUUAAUGUUUCUCCAUUUAAAAUCAUCUCAAGUCAAUAUUAUACAAAAUUAAGACAAUUGCUAAAAGUUCUUAUAUCUUCUAUUAGCACAUAAAUCUCAGGCAGGUUAAGAAAAUCCUACAAAGCAUAAAACCUGAAGUGUACCAAUAUGAUUAUAGCAUAUUUUCAACUAAUUGGUAUCAGCUAUAGAAAAAAUUUCUUCCAUACCCACUAGUGGGACUAUACUGGGAAUAAGGUCUGCAUAUAUUCUACCCUCCCUAGACCCCACUUGUGGGAUUCCACUGGGUAUGUUGUUGUUGUAUUGAUAUCUUUCACUAAGUCUGCAUGGAUUUUAAGAGAUUGUAAAUCCCUUGAGAUUUCAAUUCAUGUGAAUUUUAGGUCUGCAUCGUCUUUUUUAUUACCUUGACUCACCAUGGUUUCACACCUAUGAACCAAUGCAAAGGCGCCAACAUAGGAUAUGACCAAACAAUCCCAAGAGACCUCUCAUUUAUCCUUGCUUUUAAAUCAAAUGAGAUGCAGCCUGCUGACCUAUUCUCCUUUUCUUCACCGACUUUAACCUUUCCUUGGUUUCUAUUCAACUUCAUUGCAUAUCUAUUACAUUUCGGAGACAACAUUGAGGUCAAAGCUGGAACUAACACUUGUAGAGCUUAUGAAUCAGUCAAAGGUAAUUUAACUCAAUAAGCUUUUUUUCUUAUUUAAAUAGGUGACAGUUCGCCUCUUUUAUCUUUGUUCUGGCAAGAAAAUGUUGCUUCCUCUUAAUUUGUUCAUUUACACGGAAAUCAAAGCUACAGCUUAGAUGAUACCAAACUAUCUAUUCAAAUUCAACUUGGGGACCCAAGCUAUCCAAAUGUUUCUGCUUCUUCGCGUGUCCAUAUUUUGGCUUCUAUUGAAGUCACAGUCACUAGGAUGCCUCGGAUAGUUGCUGACACCAUCUGGAGCUAGUGGAGAUAAAAGAAUUUUCGAAGUCUCCUCAGACCUUAAACCAAAGCUUAUGGGGUCAUUUUCCUUUUAAACCCCCAAUCUUUAUAACAUGUUUGCUCAUGGUUCCCUAAAUGUCUAGACUUGAUAUUUACACACUAAGUGGGACUUCUGAUGUGAUAGCUAACGCAUUUCUAUGAUAAUGCAACUCGCUUAUAAUAAAAGUUGACUAGUGAAGGGGAGUUUAAAAUCAGGGUCUAAAGUUCUUAAGAGUCUUGUGCCUGAACUUUCUUCAACCUUUUAGUUGGUGUCUUAAUGAUCUGAUUUAGUGCUCAAGUUGCUCUAUGUUUCUUGUGUUCAGUUUAGCUCAACAUAAGAUUUCUCCCUUUCUCUACUGGACAACAGCUCACGAGUAGAAAAAAGAAACAACAGCCAAUUCCUCUAGCAAAAGAGUUAAUCUAACAGCGGAUGUAGACAUCUGCUCAGCUUGAUUUACAAGCUAACUUAUUACGAUGACACUUCCAUUUCAACCAACAUAGUCCUACAUAUAUAUGCAUUAUAUUAUCAAAAGGAUAUGAGAGAAACAAAUCGAAACCUUAAGACAAUAAAACAUAUAAGAAGAUUCCUUAUAUAGGAUCUUAGGCUACACCAAAUCAGGACUUUUCCUAGUUAACCUAGACUCGAAUGAUGAACGUAGACACAUGUAACAGAAAAACUAGAGCAGUUUUCCAUGAAAAACUACAUAAAAUUUGGUGAGCACCUGUUUCUCCAUUCGGUAUGUCCUCUGCUUAUUCUACCUGCUAAUUUUCUGCCCUUCAUAAACACAAAAAUGUUUUUCAGCUAAGCACCUAAUUCUCACUACUCUUCUCUUGCAUCAUUCUCCUUUUUCUUUUGUUCUUCUCCACCUCUAUACUUAAGUCUGCUAUAACAGAAGCUUUUCCUGCAGGUAUUCUCUGUAUUAAUACCUAACUAAACUUGUUCGUUAAGAUUAGUAUAAAAGGCCUGCUGCAUCAGACUCUUCCUGUCUAAUUAACACAAUAGGUAUCAGAAAAAAUUGAACAUCAGAACAUAACAAUUUUCAUGCACCAAUAACAGAUUAAGCUAGUGUUAUAUGCAAGCACAUUGAUUUUCAGUUUCAUUCACCCAAAAUAGAUGCCUUUUCCAACUGAUCAAACUCAUAUUGACAGUAUUGCAUCCAGAAAACAAAAUCAACAAAUUAAACAAAACAAUUCACCAUCUCAGUGCAAAACUCAAGCUACUCAGAUAUAAACAAGUCAUCAAAAAUUAAGUUAGUUGUAUUGAUGAACCUUAAUAGUACGGGCUUGUUCGGAGGUGAGAGAGGCUUUAGAAAAAGUAUCGUCGUCGACGAACACUGCUUUCUUCAUAAGUAACUUUUGGAGUGAGUCCAGAUUGGAUGCCAUCUCCGACAGAUUUCCGAUCGCAGCACUCCAUCUUUCACUACUCUCUUUCCCCUUCUCCUCCAUUUCCCCUCUCCCUCUCUCCGAACCUGGGCCGGAUCCUUGAGUAUAUCACAGUUGACCCGCUAGUUUGAGAAACUUCCUCUUUGGUCCCUCGAGUUUUUUCUCUAUAGAUUGGUCCACGACUCCAAUUUGUUGAUAAUAGGCGACCCAAAAAUGUACCUAGUAAGAAAUUAAAAUAUAUUACGAGUACAAAUGCACUGAUAAAAAACAAAAAAUAUAUGUGGGUUUUAAUAUUUUAUUUUAUUAAUUCUUUCAAUUCCAAUUGAUCAAAUCCUAUCGUCCCAAAGUUUCGAUUCAUUCAUGAUUGAAUUUUCACUUUAUCAUUUAUAAUAUGUACUUUGACAGGAAAAUAUAAAAUUUUCAAUUUAUUUUAUAGCUAAAAAUAUUUUUUUACAGCUGCUAUAUACAAGGGUUAUGAUAUAUUACUCAAAGUCUUAAUGUACUUGUUAAUUUGUUAUUUGAAAGCUAAGAAACAAUGAGUUAAGUCGAUUUGAAUCCUAAAGAAUCAAAUUAAACAAGACAUUAUAAUUUUCUUUUAUUUUUUUCUAAUACAGACAUGUCUGUAUGUAUGGUAUGACAUACUUGUUUGCUUUAUCAGAGGCAAAAAGGAUAAAUAGUAUGAAAAAUAUAAUUUUAGGGGGCAAUGGAAUUCUCAUAUAGUAUGACGUGGGAAAAGAUAUGAAAAAUAAAUCAAAGGUUAUAAAACAUUGCAUAAUUUGUGUGUAAUUGACAAUUUUAGUAUAAUUUAGAUAUAUUUUAUUUUUAAUUCCGCAAAAUUGAAGAAAUAUGGAACUAAAGAAGGAUCCUUCGUAUUUUUCAUACAUGGGCCCAUGAUCUACUCUUGAUAAAAUAAUAUUACCAAGAAUAUAUCUAAGUACAUGCAUAGAAAUAUAUACCACGGAUAACUUUUUUCUUCCUUUAAAUUUGAUAUUAAUGAUGAGUUCACCAGCUAAACUCACAAGGAUUGACUGGCCAAUUAUAGCAAAUCCACAUAUAUUUUAUCUAUAAAUAUAAAGUACACGGUACAUGCAAACUUUGAUCCCCAUUCAAAUAUUUUACAUUUUCAAUUAAUGAACCAAUCUUUUUAUAUUUGCACAAGCCUGGCUUCACUUUUUUAGGCAGGUCACAUGUAGCCAGUUUAGUUUACAUUAGGAUCAGCUUUUUGAUUGAUUCAGGGUGCAAUGGAGUCAAAUUCAAUCUAGACAAGGAGGCUUGGUUUUUCUUUAACUUGAUUUAUUUUAUUUAAAUUUAGCUAUAAUAAUUAAAGAGAAAAAAAUUUCAGACCGUAGCAUGUUAUAUUGUUAAACAGAAGCAUAACCUUUUUUAUUGUGGUGUCACAUAAUUAUUAUCUAGAAAAACAAAUCAUUUUAUAGUCAUUACACAAGAUAACCACGUUGGAUCCCUACUCAUGACCUUUUUCGUUUUUGCAUCCAAAUUCAAGAUUAGCAAAAUAAAUAGAGGCGGAUAUAUCAUAUAUAGCACAUGAUUAAUAGAUUCACUGAUAAAGGAUAUAGUUACAGUAGAUGGAGCUGCUUCUUUCUUAAUUAAAAGUCUUGAAAUUCGAUGUCGAGCUCUGAUAUGAAAAAUCUUUAAUAAAGAGUGUUUCCUUCCGAGUAAGGGGUUAUGUGGACCAACCUGAAAUUGUCGAAUUCCAAUGGACGUAUCAGAUACUAGAUGAUGAAAGAAAAAGAUAAGUGAUUCAAUUGACAUCAAACUUUUGUUAUAUAAAGCAUAAAUAACUAUGUAGGCAGCAAUUAUUUAAAGUUUAACAAAUAUUAAAAAUUCGUUAUUUCCAAACUACUGUAUUCUGAAAAUUAUAGAAAGAAUGGUCCUUCAUCUUUUUUCAUGCAUUGGUGAUAAAAUAAUAACAUCAAGAAUAUCGAAAUACAUACGCACAAAUUUAUACUACUAAUCACCUCUUUAUUGCUUUAAAUUUGAUAUUAAUCGUGACUUCACCAGCCAAACUCACAAGUAUUAACUGGCCAGUUAUAGCAAAUACUAUAUGCAUCCAUAAUAUCUAUCUAUAAAUAUAUGCAUAGUACAUGCACAAGCCUGGCUUCACUUUUUUCAGGCAAGGUCACAUGUAGCGAGAUCGCAAUAUCAUAAUCAUGGUAUUAGGAGUUAGCUUAUGCGCAAUUUCAUAUGAUUUUUGUUAUCUCUUACUAAUAUGUAUCAAUAAUUUUGUUCAUCAAAAACAAAAUAGAUAAAAAGAAAUCACCGUAUGUUUUGAUCUCUAUUAAAAUUUGAACUGCAUAUGACGAAUAUAUACCUUCCUAUGCCUGCUCUAAUCACUAGGUUUGGUUAGAAGUUCAUUAAUUUUAGUUUGAAUCUUAUAUUUAUAUUAAAAUAUAUAAAUAAUUUAUUUAGAAUAAUCUAGCUAUUGUCUUUUUCUUUUAAAUUCAGAACUCAUAAAUUUAAAACUUUAGCUUUCGCUUCAGAUACUUUCUCACAGUACAUAUGUAUGUAACAAAAAGUUUGGUUUCUCAUAUUACUAGUUUGGUUUGAUUUAUUGCAUGAAAGGCAGUGAUCAUGUUUUAGGUGAUGAAUGUACCUGCAUAGCUUUUUUUCUUUGAAGUACAAUUGUUGAACGCAUUAGGCACGGGAUUUUAGACUACAUACGGAGCAUGUACUCUAGAUCCAAAUUAGUAAAAUCAAGUUUAAGCCCAACCUUUUUUUUUAGGAACACUAGUAAGCUACUUGAGGGGUGUGUUUGAUACGGAGAAAAAUAUUUAUUUAAUUUUCUGAUAUCUGGUUGGAUAAAAUUUUUGGAGAACAUCUUUUUUCUUAAAAAUGAAGAAAAUGACUUUCUUAUUGAAAGUAGAAAAAAUAUAAGCUCCAUAAGUGACAUUUUUAAGUUCACCGUCUCCUUCCUAUUCAUCUGACACUACAGACCCGGCCCUACACUACAUCAGUCCCCACCCCUCCUACUCUCAUAGUAUUUUGUUAAAUUACAUAUACUUAUCAAACAUUAAAAAAUACGUAAAGAAAUUUACUAAUCUUAAGAGAAUACUUUUCAUGAAAAAUAAUUUCCUUAUUAUCGGACAUACCCAAAAAGAUUGUGCUCUUUUUUAUCAUUGCAAGUCCGUUUAAUUUUCAGUCAUUUCAAGUUUGGCACCGAAAUGAUCCGGCGAUUCCUUUUCUCUGCAUGUCCUUUUUCUUCUUUAAUUUGAAGGAUUUUGACCAUGUGAUUCUCAUUUUUAAUUUUGUAUAAAGCACCAAAUUUAGAGGGAGUUCAAUGGAUUUAACUAAUGAAACGAAAAAUAAUCGAUAUAUACAUAGAAUAUGAUUGUCCCUAUUCGUGUAAAAAUCCCAUUUGGCUAAUGAAAGCCUACACAUUGGUUAAAUUUCCUUGCUAGACAUAAUUUCUCCUUGAGAUACAACAUCCAAAGACGCUAAACAGUCACAUCAUAGCAAUCACCCCCAAAUUAAAAGAAUCCAUGUUACAAUUAAUGUAUUAUCCGAUGUUUACUACUCGUAUUAGUUAAAAUUUUGAUUAAUUUAAAUUUCAUGUGGUAUAAUAUUUAUUAAGGACUAGCUUUAACUUUGAAUUCAAAAUCCCUCAUUAACAUCAGCACAUGAAAGGAUCUUAUAUUCAUCCCACUAUAUUAAACUUUAGUAUAGAUUGUUACAAUAAGAUAUAUUUUUUCUGUACCUUUUUUAUUUUACUUGGUCUAUGUUGAUUGUAACAAUAUGAUAUAAAAAAAUGCUUUCUCUGCUUCAAGUUAUUUGUUUGGUUUAACUUGGCAUGAAGAUUAUUAGAGUUUGAAAAUAAAUAAGAUUGGACAUAAAAUAUUGAAAAUCGAUUAUCAAAUCGAUCCAAAAUAUAUUUUUGAUAUUCGAUAAUUCAAUAUUCGUUAUGGCAUUCAGGAGUAAAAUUUUAGAAUUAUGGUAUUUGAAUUUGAAAUUGGUAUGAGACAUUAGUACCAUUUGAUAACCGAUAUUUUUCGAAUACGGAAUUAUUUACUUAAUGAAGGUCAUAUAUCAACAUGACCGAUCCAUUACUAUUAAUUAGUACAAGUCCCAAGAAAAAUUUAAAUACCAAACAUAAAUAAUCCAAAUACAUAUGUCUUUUAAUUGUGUAAAUUUGCAUUUUUGAUGUUUUGUUACUUGUUGUCUUCGAUUAUAUUGUGCAUUCACAUAGAAAAAUAAAAAUAAUGGGAGCAAUAGUAUUAACUUUGCAAUACAAUCGGCUAGAACAUUCAACUUGAUAUUAUAUAUUGAAUACCAUACCAAACUGGAGAGUGAUUUACUGAUUAUCAAAUUUUCGAAUCAAAAUUUAAACUUUUGGUAUUUGGUAUCUACCUUAACUACCAAUUACCGAAUUACCAAAUUCAAAAUUUGAAACUUCUGAACCGAAUAUACCAAAUGUCUAUUCCUAAAAAUAUAUACGAAUUUUUAAAUCCUAUGGUCAUAAACUAAAAAUAUAUAUAAUAUAAAGUAUCAAAAUAUUCUUUACUCUAGUGAGUUGUGAUCUUAAAUAUUUCUCGUAGAAAGUAAGUAGUAUUAAAGAGUUAACCAAAAAGAAAAAGGUCAUUAUUUUUUUCAAACCGACUAAAAAGAAAAGUAAUACAAAUAAAUUAAAAUGAAGAAUUUAUUUUAUUAAAUUAACUUUGUUAAUUAUAUUUUAAAAAUCUACACUUUAUUAAUGACAAAAAAUAUUGAAAGAAAAUAAUAAGUUUAUUUUUUUAUUAAAUAUAAGAGUCAGUAAGAAAUGAAACUAUACUUUCUCUGUCUAAAAAUAAUUGAAAUUUUGUGGGGGUUUUCAAUGUUCAAAAUAGUUGAAUUGUUCAAAAUUCAAAAUGAAUGUUUAAAAUUUUUUCAUAGUUGUCUUUUCAUUUAUUGAAGUUUUAUAUUUUCUAGGAGAUCAAUUACACUACAUAUUUAUAAUUUCACAAAGGACAAUAGUGAAAAGUAUGGUGUAUAUUUUGUUUUUAAAUAUUUUUCUUAAUACGUGUGCAUUACCUCGCAGCUUUUUCGAUGACUUUGAAAAUGUUGUUACUCUGACGUUCUCUAUAUAUAGGCAAAUCCCUUUUCAUAAUUGGAACAUGCAUGCAUGUGCUUCAAUCAAAAUAAUUCAACAAACUUUUGGAUAUAGGAUUAACUUUAAUUAAUUAGAAGAAUGGAGAAGACUACACAUAGAGAUGAUGAAGAUGUGAAGGGCAAAACUCCAAAGGGUCAUUUUGUAGUUUAUGUAGGGGGAGAAUUGAAGAGAUUUGUUCUUCACAUAUCUUACUUGAAGAAUCCUUGCUUCCAGAAGUUGCUAGAAGAAGCUGCUCAAGAGUUUGGAUUUCAUAGUCCCAAGGGAAUUGUUUUGCCUUGUGAUGAAUGCACUUUUCACAAGGUUAUUCAUUUCAUUUCAUGAACAUUAAUUGAUCAUAUAUGCACCUACCAUAGCUAGAAAAUUAAUUCCUCUCUAUUGACUUUCUUUUAAUUUCUUUAGAUUGAAUGAAAAUGUUGUCCUGAUAACUUUUCAGAUGUUCACACAGCAACUAAUAAUUAUUUUAUUAUUUUAGAAAGUGAUCAUUUUUCUUCUUAAUAGAGUCUUAUUUUCUUUAACAAAUCAAAGAAAUCAAACAGUUAGUUGAUAAGAUAAUAACUAUUAGUUGAAUGAUCAUACGAGAGAAAUUAUCUUUCUCUAAUAUUAUAAUUAUUAAUCCACAUUGUAACUAUUUGUAUGUAAAUACCACUUAUGAUCAUACGAGAGAAAUAACUUUCUCGAAUAUUAUAAUUAUUAGUCCACAAUGUAACUAUUUGUAUGUAAAUACCACUUAUAAUUUGUAUAUGUGACAAAACCACUUUGAGCCUCGGAGCAAAGCGUAACAAAACUACGCUUCGAGUCCCAAAGGGUAUUUAUGUAGUUGAGUCAUAUUACACGAUGUUUGAUUUUAAUUUGGCAUAUUAUUAUUCGCCAUACAUUGUUGUAUACUUGUAUUCGAGCUGAGGGUCUUGUGAAAAUAAUAUCUCAACCUUCACGAGAUUAGUAAUAAGACUUGUGUGCAGUACUCUAUCCUUUUCGGACCCUAUUUAUAAUUUUACUAGGUAUGUUAUUAUUAUUCGUUAUACAUUCACAAAGAUAUUCAUGUUACAUUUAUAAUUUAACACGUUUCAUUAUAAGCACGAUCGCACCAAAUAAAUAUUUUCAAAUGAAUUUCACUAUUUAGAAGUAUCAAGGAAAACUUUGAUGUGUUCUAUUAGGGGUUAACAUGAGUUUCAAAGGGCAAGAAUAUCAUAAUCAACAGAGAACAAUUUUGCUUAAGUUCAAUGAACGGGAAAAAAGGGUAAAAGUCGUUUUUAUUGGCAAAUUUCUUCAAACAUAUAAUUGUAUGAUAUUGCAAAUAAACUUAUAAUUCGACAUGCGCUUGAAAUUGCAAUAAAUGAAUAAAUUGGCUCUUAAAGGACAUUACUGAACAUGUGUAAAUUCAAAUAAGGAGUGUUACAAUUUUUUUUAUUUUUGGUAAUCAGGAGCGUUACAUUAAUUAACGACUGAGUACGUUUUGUUCUUUUUAUACUAUAUUAUCUGAUUUUCUUUUUCUGUCCCUCUCCAGGACUUUUCUUUUUUUGGUGGACAAUGCUUCCACCUGAGCAAUAAAUUAUCUGAUCUUCAUUGUUUAGAAUGAUUAGUGGCUAGACCAAUACAUGGUGAAUUUUUAUUGUAAAACUAGAGAUAUCAAAUAAGUGAGUUAAAUUGAAUUUAAAUGGAUUAAAAUAAGUACGAUAUUUACUUGUUCAAAAGUUGAGCUGCAAUAGGUUAAAUACCAAGUAUAACCCAAAUCGUCUAAAUUUUUUUAUGAGUUUAAUCACUUUAUUUACUUUUUAAUAAAUUUAAUGAAAUUACUUUUUUAUUAGGAUAAUAUAUUUAACAGAAAAAAUAAAAAAAUAUUUUGAUAAUAUUUCUCAUGAGUCAUGAGUACAUCUAAAAUAAUAUCAAAUCAUUUUUUUUAUUAUUAAAAUAAAUUGAGUUGAAUUAGACAGCUAAAUUUAUGGCUUCAAAUUAUGCUGAAUAGUCAAUCCAGCAAUGUAAAUGGAGAACCGAGUGAAGAAGCAACAUACGCAUAUGGGCCUUUGUUUUAUAUUUGGAAAAUAUACUAUUGCCAGUCUUUUAUAAAUUUAUUUUUGAUUUUGUAUUUUUUUAAUAGUUUUCAAAAUUUACAAAUACACAAGAAAUAUUUACAAAAUCACUUUUUAAAAUUUAAAUUGCAAAAGGUUUAAUUGACCUAUUUUCAUAAGUAAUUAUAUAACAGCAUGCAUUAUUUUCUUUUUCUUAUUUUUUUUAACCUAUAUCAAGACGAGAAUUCUUCAAAUUUGCUCACGUCCUUAUCUUUAGUUUCAAUUAAUUUUUCCCAAGUUUUUGUCUUACCCCUUGACAAUGAUUUUCCAGCCGUUUACCAAAUGAAUGGUGGUACAUAUUCUGUUUCUAAAGUUAGUUGAAACUGUUUAUCGGUCCCUAGUUUUAAUUGUCAAAAAUAUUUAUUUUAAAAUAGGAAAAUGAAAAAUUAUUAAUUCACACAAUUCUUUUCAAUUUAUUUUAUUGAAGAUGAAAAAAAUUCAAAUAGAAAGUACUUCUUGUCAAUGAAAUAACUUCUACACUGCAUAAAUUUAAAUUAAUUAGAUCAAUAAAUUUCGAAAAUAAACUAUAAAAUCUAUUUAGUUACAUCAAUAUCCUUAAGCAAUAACUUAAUUAUAUAAUUAAAAAUAGGAAAAAAGCAUAAAUUUCCCUCUGAAGUUAUCCUAAAAAGUCAGUUACAUACCUUAACUAUUUAAGUGGCCUUUUACACACAUGUACUUUGCCAAAGUAAAUUUAUUUGACCCUUUCUACACCAAAUCCCAAGCGCAUUUCUGUUAAUCUCUAUUAGCGCGUACGACAUCAAAUUAAUUUUUUAUAUUAAAAUUAAAAUUAUGAUGUAUGGAAGAAGAAGGAAACUCAAGAUCUCAAAGAAAGAUAACCAAAAAUGAUGAAAAAAUGUUCAAAUUGUUCUUCAAAUCUUGAUUGGAAGCUUUUACUCUUCAUUCUUCCUCCACUUUCUCUCCUUUUUUAUGUUUCUCUUUUCUCCAUUUCCGCCAUAGCCAGUAACGCUUUUUUCACUUUUGCCCCUCUCACAUCUGUUUUCAAUAAUAAUGCCCUUCCGUCUCCAUCGAUUUUCACGAAUCAAUCGGAUCGGUCUGAGCCUAUGUUUUCAUUGAUUUUUUUGAAUCGAUCGGUUACAAAGGAAGAAUUAGACCGGUCUAGAAUUGUUGUAUGUAUAGUGGGUGGAGUUAGUAGAUUUGAACUAACUGGGCCUUCUAUAAUCCAAAAAAUUCUGAAAAUUUAUCCGAACUCUAAUCUGCUUUGUUUAUUCUAUUUAUGGUCAAAAUCGAAUCCUUCUGAGACAAAUAUUUGGAGAAAUUUUAAGAGUAAUUGUUGGUGUGAGAGAUUUUUGGACUUGAGUUUAUAAUUGAAUUUGUCAAAGAAAUCUUUGCUGCAGAUUUAUGGUGGGUGAAAUAAAAUGGGAAAUUGAUAUUCAAAAUAUCAACAUUCAGAAGUAAUAGUAGUUGUACAUAGAUCCGAUCUACUUCUAGCUUGAGGCCUUUUCUUUUAUUUCCGUUUGUGGUGUGGUGUGUAUUUGUGGCAGUUGGAUAGUGAGAAUUGUUAGCAGUUAGGCCGUUUCUUUGACUGUUGAGGGCGAGUACAUUGCACUCUCUACAUAAUAUCUGGGUUUGACAUAGAAAUGGUUAAAAAAAUUCAUUUUGUCGUAGUAUAAAUGUAUAGUAGGUCACUUAAAUAGUUAAAGCAUGUAAAUGAUUUUUCGAGACAACUUUGAAGGUAAAUUUAUACCUUUUUAUUUAAAAAUAAAGACUACAAACUAAUCACACAAUAAAUUCAUCACUUACAUGAAAAGUCUAAAAAUAGAAAGCGAAAUCUGAAAUAGAAUUGUACAAGUGGGAGCAUUAAACAGAAAGGUGCCUCUCAUGCAAGUUGAGUGACCAGUGGCAGGUGUACAUGAUCCACUAUGGAUGCUUCAGUAUUUAUUGUCAUCGAUAAAUAUUAUUAUUUAUGAAUAAAAUUUAAUAAUUUAUUAAAAUAUAUUAGUAGAACAUUCAUUUUAUAUAGUAAUUUUUAAAUUAAAAAUAAUUAAACAUUCAUAAUAAUAUAAAAUUUCUGAAUUCACUGUUAAAAUUGACCAUGGGAAGGGGGCGACAUACCAUAAGUUUCCCAAAAGAAAAAGUUCUAAUUGAAUAAAACAUAUAUAUACACACAAUUGAUACACACUGAGAAUUGCACUAUUACUUCCUCCAUUACAUAUUUUUUUAUCCUUAUCAUUAAAAAACAUGUAUCCCAAAUUAUCUUCAGGAUAGAAUUAACAAAAUGUUUUUUUAUUUUAUUUUCUAAAUUAAUUCUUUUUAAAAGUAUAAAUAUUAUAAUUUUUUUUAAAAAAAUUACUCUAUUCAAUCUUGACAUUGAUGGAUAAGAGAGAUUGGAAUGGUGUAUUAAAAUGAUUAGUUUCUCAAGAUCGUGCGUCGCACAAACUCAAUAGAUAUAUUUUUUUUAAUAGUAAUUAAUAAAAAUAACAUAGUAAAAUUAGGUAGAUACUUUAUAGCCACCACAAAAUUAAGUAGACAUGUUAUUAUAAUUUCACACUUGAAGUAGAGGAAGUAAUAAUUAAAUAAUAAUUAACAGAAAUGUUACAGUAAAAUUAAGCAGACACUUUAAUGGCCACAUAAUACUAAGCAGACACAUUGUAAUCACCUGUCUGCUUCAAGCAGUUGCACUAGACAGCUAAAAUGCUCAGCUGUAAACAAUAAUUUAAAUAAUAAUUAAUAUAAAUGACAUAGUAAUUUUAAGUAGACACUUUAAAAGUCAUCAUAAAAUUAAGUAGACAUGUUAUUGUAAUUUCAUAGUUGAAGUUAAUGAAGAAAUAAUUAAAUAAUAAUUAUAGAAAUGACAUAAAAAUAUUGACGUUGUUGAAGUUCAAUCUCGAAACGUUGAAUUUAAGAUGACAGACUUGAACCAUUAAGCUAAACAGUUAAAUAGUCACCAGCCUGCUUCAGCUGUCUGCUUGAAGCAGCUGAAGCAAAUACGAUGAUCCUAAUAAGCUGCUCAACUUAGCAGCUUAUUAUAUAAUAAAAUAUAAAUAAUAAAAUAAUAUGAAAUAGUGUAAAAAAUAAUUUAGUUAAUAAGUUAUACUUGAACAUAAUAAUGUGAAAGAAAAAAAUAGUAGCAAAAACAAAUACGGAGUAAUAGGAUAUUAAAGAAAAUUGAAAAAUAAAAAAUAGAAGAAAACUAAUUAUAACAUUUUGAUUUGAUAAAGAAACAUUACACAAUUACCCAGUAAUUUUUUAUUAGCAAAAAUAAAUAUAGAUGAACAAAACAAAGUUUAAAACAUACUCGAUGUCAAAGCUUCAUGACUUUAUCAAGAAUUUCUAAAUGAUUCUCAAACUUUAAAGACAUUGAUCUACAACUGCUAAUUAAAUAAGUUUAAGUAUGGUAGUUAUACAACUCAAAUUAAAAUACACACAUACUUUAUUUUAUAGCCACCGUCAAAUUCUUGUUGCUCCACUAAACAUGCUCCUGAUAGGUAUUAAUUAAACUGUUGUUAGAUUUAAAUAAAAGAGAAACCACUGAGUCAUCAUCACAAAAACGUUAAUUAAUCCGAUAACCAAUAUGAUUAACCCGUCUGUCAUCAAUUAGUGCAGUAUAACAAGAAUAAAAUAUUGGAAUAAUUGUGGAUUAAGAAAAGCAGAAGACGGAAGCUGAAAGCAAGUGCUACUUAUUACCGACACGUGGUUUUGCAUUUAUUGAAAUGCCAUCACCCUACUACCGACACGUGUCAAUUUUCCUGACGUGGACCAAUCGGGUCGGGGAAACGGAUCGUAUCGCGACCCUUACUCUCAACCACGAAUUCUGAUACCCACUCUCUAAGCUAUGUGACCGCAAAUUUGAUCCGCGUUGCCACGUGUCAAUCACGCCUGACACUUAUUUACAUAAAAAUAAUAAAAAAUAUUAAAUUAUUCCUGAAAAUUUUUCAAAGCAAACAAAGCUCUUCUCUUUCUCUCUCUAUCUAUCCAGAAUCUCCGAGAUUGGUCUUUCCGAGCAUCAAAUUAGGGUUCAACUGGUGUCUUUGUGUCAUUCAAGUAUCGGUUUUCUGGCGAACUUCUUGACUUUUCCGUCGACUUAUCGGUUUUGAGGUGAGUUUUCCGGCAGAAUCUUCUGUAAAGGUUUAUUUUUGCUGUUUAUCAGCUGCUUACUGGAGAACAUCAGCGAUAAGAGUUUUCAGCUUCUGAAGUGAUUGAAGAUUUUUCUCUAAAAAAGUCAGUUUACUACAUCAAAGUUGUAAUCUGUUGUUUACUGCUUUUUUAUUACUCGACUCCACGGCCUUCAGACUUUGAAGCUUUGAGAAAUUUCUGUGAAAUCAUUUUUCUUGUCUCAGCAAAUUGUAUAUCUUGGAUGCUAAAAAGUAGGGAAUAGGAGAAUGGUUUUCUUCAAUUGCUUCUAAUGUUUGUUUUCCCCAUUUCUUGGUAUGUUUGAUUGGUGAAUGGAGAUAAAGGGAGGACUUGGGAUUUGAAUAUGAAAUCUGAUCAGUGUGUUGCAUGUGGAUUAAGUGCUGGUUAAACAACUCAAAGGAAUGUCAGAUUUGCAGUUAUAUGAGGCAAGAUUUUCUACUUUCUGAUGGGUGUAUUUUUAUUUGAUGCCAUUGUUGAUUGUUCUUUACCUCCUUCUGACUAGCAAGUGGGUAUAUUGAAUUUGAACUUAAUUUGGUGUGCCACAGAGAUUAGAUUCAUUUCAGUCUCUAUAUAUAUUCUUUUGAUAAUAAAUGAUUGGGAAAAUGGAGAAGUUGGAUACCUUGAACCCAAUGAAUGUGGUUAGGAUGUAAAUAGUUGGCUUUCUCUACCAUUUAAUUUUGUUCAGUGUGAUUUUCUUAGAGGAAAGCAGAGAUUAGGAUCAAAUGUUGUACAUGAAAUUCAAUUUAUUUUUCUAUCAUAAUUUGUCUGAGUGGACUUCUACUAACUAAAGAUUACUUUUCAUUGGCUAAAACUCUGAUAAUUUGGAUACUCCUGAGGUUACCGAGCCAAAAGGCCAGAGUAGCUGGAGUAGAAUAUUUACCUCUGAACAGUUUAAAUUAAGAUCCACGUGAAAAUGAAAAUAUUGAAAGUAGGAGAUGAGAAGUCAAUUGUCUCUGUGGAUUGGUCAAAUAAACAGCAUUUGAUUCGACACUUUUUCAGUCCUCUUUCAAGUANCAAUCACGCCUGACACUUAUUUACAUAAAAAUAAUAAAAAAUAUUAAAUUAUUCCUGAAAAUUUUUCAAAGCAAACAAAGCUCUUCUCUUUCUCUCUCUAUCUAUCCAGAAUCUCCGAGAUUGGUCUUUCCGAGCAUCAAAUUAGGGUUCAACUGGUGUCUUUGUGUCAUUCAAGUAUCGGUUUUCUGGCGAACUUCUUGACUUUUCCGUCGACUUAUCGGUUUUGAGGUGAGUUUUCCGGCAGAAUCUUCUGUAAAGGUUUAUUUUUGCUGUUUAUCAGCUGCUUACUGGAGAACAUCAGCGAUAAGAGUUUUCAGCUUCUGAAGUGAUUGAAGAUUUUUCUCUAAAAAAGUCAGUUUACUACAUCAAAGUUGUAAUCUGUUGUUUACUGCUUUUUUAUUACUCGACUCCACGGCCUUCAGACUUUGAAGCUUUGAGAAAUUUCUGUGAAAUCAUUUUUCUUGUCUCAGCAAAUUGUAUAUCUUGGAUGCUAAAAAGUAGGGAAUAGGAGAAUGGUUUUCUUCAAUUGCUUCUAAUGUUUGUUUUCCCCAUUUCUUGGUAUGUUUGAUUGGUGAAUGGAGAUAAAGGGAGGACUUGGGAUUUGAAUAUGAAAUCUGAUCAGUGUGUUGCAUGUGGAUUAAGUGCUGGUUAAACAACUCAAAGGAAUGUCAGAUUUGCAGUUAUAUGAGGCAAGAUUUUCUACUUUCUGAUGGGUGUAUUUUUAUUUGAUGCCAUUGUUGAUUGUUCUUUACCUCCUUCUGACUAGCAAGUGGGUAUAUUGAAUUUGAACUUAAUUUGGUGUGCCACAGAGAUUAGAUUCAUUUCAGUCUCUAUAUAUAUUCUUUUGAUAAUAAAUGAUUGGGAAAAUGGAGAAGUUGGAUACCUUGAACCCAAUGAAUGUGGUUAGGAUGUAAAUAGUUGGCUUUCUCUACCAUUUAAUUUUGUUCAGUGUGAUUUUCUUAGAGGAAAGCAGAGAUUAGGAUCAAAUGUUGUACAUGAAAUUCAAUUUAUUUUUCUAUCAUAAUUUGUCUGAGUGGACUUCUACUAACUAAAGAUUACUUUUCAUUGGCUAAAACUCUGAUAAUUUGGAUACUCCUGAGGUUACCGAGCCAAAAGGCCAGAGUAGCUGGAGUAGAAUAUUUACCUCUGAACAGUUUAAAUUAAGAUCCACGUGAAAAUGAAAAUAUUGAAAGUAGGAGAUGAGAAGUCAAUUGUCUCUGUGGAUUGGUCAAAUAAACAGCAUUUGAUUCGACACUUUUUCAGUCCUCUUUCAAGUAAGUAAGUUAUUUGCUUCUUUGUUGGAUACACCAUUAAUUCAAGGAACAUUUCUCUGCUUUUGAAAUUCAUCACUUUCACUCAUAUGACCAUGGAGUCAUAGUGGAUACAAGCAAACAUGUAUUAAUUCUUUAAAUGAACUACAAGGAAGAUAUGCCGCCGGAGAUCCCUGCAAAUACUGAUGCUUUCCGGAAGGAACUUUUGGACAAAAUGUAUGUGAAGGUUUCAGGGAAUAAGUCAUGGGAUAUGCGCCCCAAAAGAAUUCCCAAAGAGAAAUUUUAUUGGUCAUUCAGCGAAAAAUUUGGAAUAUAAUCUGUGUUCUGUAAGUGGUGCAGGACAAACCAGAAAAGAAUGUUGCUCUUACAUUUUAUCUUUUGACUGAUCAGAUACUUAACAUGCUCUUGAAACAAAGCUACAAACCAGAACCAUGACAUCAAGUCACUGAUGUGAAGGAAUUAUGGCAUUUUUGUAAAUCGAGAAUGAAUUAUUAGAUCUCUGUCUACAGCAUGCUUCGAGGGCUUUGAUAUAGUGCUUAGGUCAUAAGACCCUAGAAAGUGAUGUCUGGAUUAGGCGAAUGCAGCGAGUUCAAAUCCUGCCACAGAUAAAAGGCCUGGUAUAAGUGGAGAAGGGUAGAAGGUCGGAUUCAUCACCUACUGAAUUUCAAUUCAUGCGCCACUGGCCCUUGGGGAUUUCCCGAUUAACCAAAAAAAGAUGUCUGGCUAUAGCAUAUGGGUGUGGCUAUGAAGGGGCUAGUUCUAACAAAUCCAAAGAUAUUGUUGAAAAGUAUAUGAAAACCAGAAGGCAUAAUAUCAUUAAUCGUAUAAGGGUUUGGAUCUACAAAGUUUUCCAAGUCUGUCUUAUAAGGAAAAAAAACUGUAAAAGCUAUUGUGCUGAACAAACUAGAGUUGCUGAUCUUUCUUCAUUUAGAAAUUAUCUAAAGAAAACAAGAGAAGUCCUAAAACAAUUAGGAAACAAAUGGACAUGCACUUACCAGGGUCAGCUUUGACGACUUCAAGGUCGGACUCUUCAGAUUCCAUCAGACCAGAGUAGGUUACCUAAUAGAAACGGAGAUAAAGAUGAAAAAAGAUCAGGAAGUGAGUGAAGAAGGAAGAAGAUGGAGAAUGUAAUACCUUCGAUAGCUGAUCAAAAACUCCAAUAAAGUGAAGAUAGUUAGUGAAGAGGCAUGAAGAGAGAAAGAGUACUCUAGAAGACUUAGAAAACCCUAUUAUCUAGGGGUCCAUUUGGUGUUAACUAUGCCUUAUAUAAGGCAUAUUAUCCGGAUGAUGUUAUGGGUCAGACUUAUUGUAAUGCUGCUGUUGAAGUUUUUGAAUAAAACGGACCCAUGGUCCAAAUUGAUUUAAAAAUUAAAAAAUUAGGAAACAAACAGCUGAGGAUUAGAAAAUCAGUAUAAUAACUACAUUUUUUCUCCAGAUAAAACAAACUCAAUAUGAUAACAACAGUCGGAUAAGAAGACUCCUAAACUACCUAAAAACUAAGAAGAUCACUGCAAAUCAGAUAAUAUGUAGAAUGAACAGUGUGUGUAUAUAUAUAUAUCAAAAACCUAAGUUGCUCGGACUCAGGUGCGGGUGUCCGAUACGGGUGCGGAUCUAGAGGUUAGAUUCUUCAUGAUCUAGUUCUUAAGAUUCGGAGAUAUGGAUCCAUAUAUGCCUAAUUAUAAAUAAAAUAUCUACAAAUAGAGUAAUAAAACCUAAAUUAUGAGAUAUUACGUGGAGAAUUUGAGGAGAAUUUUGGAAGAAGAUUAAAGGAAAAGGAAUGACAGAGAUAUUUUUACAUAAAAGUAUCCCAUUUUCUUGAAUUUCACCUUACUUUUGUAUUGAUGACAAAAAUCAUUAAAAUUAUCCGAACUUUCCCUAUCGAUUUUGGUCAAAGUAUUCGAAAUCGGUUGACCAAAUCGGACAUGGAUCCUACAUCUACACCCACAUCCAUGUUGUGUCGACACGGUUGCGGUACCAAAAGUGAAGAGUCUGAGAAACUUAGCAAAAAACUGUUAUUAACAAUUACUUUAGUUUCAUCAGUUCCUGCAUCGUCACAUAAGAGUGUACUAAAUUCUUCUGUUAGUCUUACUGUGAAGACAAAACUAGUUUUUCUACCCUUAUAAGAAGGUAUAGAGUAAAUGUGUACUGGGAAUGCAGCACUUAUCUUCUUCAGCAUCCUCCAUUAGCUAUUUUACAUGUAAGGUGCCACGUUUUUUUCGAACAAUGUUGUCCUUUUCCCCGAGCUGAUCUACUUCCCUUAUCGAGUAUCUUUCAUUCUUUUUGAGUAUCUUAGAUUCUCUCUCCUCAACGGCAAGUUCUAAGAACACAGAUUAGCAGAGAGUUGGGGGAUUUCUUCUCAUCUUCGUCGGCAAAGUUACCCCGUUUCUCUUAUUUAAAAAAAAGGUUACCCUUACAUGUACUGAUAGAAGCAUGCACGAACCUAGUGGAAUAGUUUUGGUGUGAUAAGUUGGCUUAGUCAGCAUCAUUAUAAUAAAGUUUCUGUCACCGCAGUAAGCUGCCUUUACUUCAUUCACGACUUCAUCUUUUGGUCAGUUUGGGGAAUGUUAGCUAGUUUGUUUGGUGAUUUCCACCUAUAUCUUUUGUAAGAGACAAAGAGCGUUUGACCUUUAUCUGUACUUCAUCAUUUUCUCAUAUUACAAUGUUGAAGUUUUAAUUUUGAGUUGCUCAUUUUAUGGAAGUAUCCUCUGCAGUUAUUACAGCUAAAAUUCUGUAACUGGUGUUACAGCUUGAUGAUAUAUCUUGGGAUGAGUUCUGCCACAAUGAUGAUCAUAUAGUGCCCCAUCCAAGUAGUGGACGCGCUAAUGAACCACUCUCCCAGAAUGAUAGCCGUAAGAAACCUCGCCAUGAAGUAACUGGUUUAACAAGUAAUGCAGGUGAUCAAUCUACUGGUAAAUAUGCUAAUCAACAAAAGGAGCAAGUAUUGAGUAAUAGAAGCCCCAAAAUGUUGGAAAAGGACUCGUGGUCUGAUGCACCUGAUGGUGCGUUCUCUUCCCCACGUGAAAAAGCCAUAGUCAGAGAAGCUUCAAGUUUACCAUCUGAAAAUACCAGGACAUCCAAUCAUUGCAUCAAAAGUAAUAAUAUAGACUCCACUGAGAGCGAAUCCCGUCCUAAUGGUCGCACUCUGGAGGACAAGAAUGCUGCUGUGGGGGAAAACUCUUAUAGCUAUCCACUUGGUCCCAUUUCUCAGGCUGAUGAUGAUCUCAGUUUUCUUGACAAUAGUUGUGAGGAUAAAGACUCUAACGAUCUCUUAUAUUAUAGCUGGCCUGAGAUAGAGAACUUUGAGGAUGUCGAUAGGAUGUUCAGGUAAUGACUUUUCUUUAUUUCUGUCAAGUGGACUUUAGUCAUCCUCUGUUCAUCUUUUUAAGGCACAAUACGUGAACAAAUUUGAACUAAGAGUUAUUCCCAUAACGUCAUCUUUUGUAGUGAAUAUAGAUAAAACAAAUAGUAUGUUUAAAGACACUAUGAAUUGUAAUACAUUUCAGGAAUUGUGAUUCGACAUUUGGAUUUGGCCCUGGAAGUGAAGAUGACUUAGGCUGGCUUUCAUCAUCAGAUGUUAUUGAAGGAUCUGGAGAUGGAUUGACGUCUGGUUUUAAGUUUCCAUGUCCAGCAUCCAGUGCUCUUGGAAGUACAUCCGCCAGUCAUGAAACUUCAAAGCCAAAGGAAACAAAUAUUUCAUCUGGCACUGAGAAUCAGUCACUUGGGUAUAAUGGCAGUUCAUGGUCCUCCGAGAAAAAUGAAUCUGUAAAUCUGAGUGAUUUGUCGUUUUUAAAUGGAUCAAGUAAUUUAGAGUGCAAGUUAGUACCUGAAAAGAAGGUAAUGCUUCUGUGCAAUAUCAAUUUUUUGAUCUUGAGAGUCAUAUCAUGCAUCAGCUUACCUGAGAGGUGAUUGUUUUACUGAAGGCUGAGGUACAUGGUGGUGGAGUUCAAGUUGAGAUUGCCGCUAACAACCAACCAAGAAUCAGCAAUAAUGCUAAGGUUAGUAAAAAAUGGAUGGGUAGUUCCAGUUUAGGUGCAUUCUUCCUCGUCAAGUUUAAGUGUGAGGAUGAAGGAACAAUUCCUGAGUGUCUGAUGUGAAUAAUUGUUUCUCCUAUUUUUAAUUUUCUUAUGGUUUCUUCUUUCCAGGAUAGCAUGCAGAAGAAACACUCCAAGCACCAGAAUCGCUCUGAGGGUAAAAGAAAAUGUGGUUAUCUAGAAAAUGGAGAUGCACUCAAUUACACUGAUAGCCUUCCAGAAGAGAAAAAGCUGCCUUCUGGGGCUGCAAGCACUCAAGUGAAUUUCGCAUCUGCAGGUGUCCUGCAGCAAAAGCAAACUCAUGAUCCUGAUUUCGGCUACUUGGAUGGUAGCUUUUCUUACAUGCAUUCAGAUUAUGGUCAUUCAGAUGGGAAUGCUCUCCAUCCAACUCUACCAAUUUUAAAAUAUGAAAGUACCGGUCUGGUGUCUCUUUCCCCAAAGGACUCUUAUGCAUCAAAUCAGGUACAGUCCAUGGAGGGUUCUCCUGAUCCUUCUUUUCAGGUGGCUACUAUGACAAGAAAUGAGAAUGUGGAGAAGUUAUUCCAUCAGUCUGGAGUCAAGGUUGAAAACAACCGCGAUUUUGAAGGGGUUGGCAUAAGAAUGCCCUCAGAAUUAGGAUCCUCAAUUGUACAGGAGUGCACUUCUAUAAAUUCUGGGUUGGAUGAAAUUUCAGAAGAAGCAGCUAGUUUUCAUCAGCUUCAACGUGUCAUGGAACAGGUAGUCAGUUCACUAUGAGAUUAACUGUGUUAUGAUCUUCAUCUUCAUUGAUUAUAAACUUAUUAAGAGUUAAGCUAAAGAGUAAAUGUAACUUUGCAUAUCUGACAUACCCUUAUAUGCAUGUUCAAUGUGCGGGUGGACAAACGUACAAUAAAUUGGUGUCACUGGACAUCACUUCGUCGGAAAUUUUUAUUUAAUAUACAUAUAACCAAUAGACAGCAUGGACUAAAUGGAGGCUUGCAUCUGGAGUAUUGUGUGAUAAGAAGAUACCACCUAAACUCAAAGGUAAGUUUUACAGAUUGGUGGUUAGACCAUCUUUGCUGUAUGGGGUGGAGUGUUGGCCAAUAAAAAAUUUACAUGUCCAGAAGAUGCAUGUUGCAGAGAUGAGGAUGUUGAAAUGGAUGUGUGGUCACACCAGGAGUGACAAGUUUAGGAAUGAGACCAUUCGGGAGAAGCUAGAGGUGGCUCCGGUGGCUGAUAAGAUGAGGGAAACGAGACUACGAUGGUUUGGACAUGUGCAGAGAAGGAGUAUCGAUGCUCUUGUUAGGAGGUGCGAGAGGUUGGUUUUAGGAGCUACACAGACGGGUAGAGGUAGACCGAAGAAGUACUGGGGGGAGGUGAUUAGACAUGAUAUGGCGGAACUUAAUCUCACUAAGGAUAUGACCCUAGAUAGGAAGAAGUGGAGGUCGCGUAUUAGAGUAGUAGGUUAAUUGAUUGGUAGAGUUAGGUGGUUACCUAGUCACGUGGUUUAGUAGGGUAGACGAGUAGUAGUGUUUUAUAAUAUGUGUUAUCAUUAUUUGUUGUUUAUGUGUUAAUUGUAUCAUAUUUACGUAUUGUCAUGUGCUUUGGUUAUUAGUCGUUUUUUUUCUUGUUCCCUUUCUAUUACUUUUUGUCAUAUCUAGUUUAUUCUGCUUAUGGGUUUUUGAGACGAGGGUUCCCAAGAAACAACCUCUCUACUUCUAUGAGGUAGUGGUAAGGUCUGCGUACAUUCUACCCUCCCCAGACCCCACUUGUGGGAUUCCACUUGGUAUGUUGUUGUUGUUGUUGUUGCAUACACAUAACCAAUAGUCAGAGACAGUAUAUAUGACCAAAUAACACCAAUUAACAACAUGCUUCCCGCGUACUGGUGGUCCAGAGCUCCAGUUAUCAUGCUUGAAGUCAGCGAUUCGGUUUGCUCUAUGUUUGCAUUUUGCACAUAAAAUUGUUUUAAAGCUGUCGUGAGAAAGGGAUAGAGGUUGUAACACGUGAGGAUGGAUCCCUGCUCUUAUCUGGGCUUAUAAAAAAGGUUAAAACCAGUUCAACCAUGAUUAUUUUGUGAUAAUCAAUGUUAUGAUAAAUAAUUAACUUAGGCCCAAAAUUUUAGAAUUCAUUACUCCUUCACAAGAAAAAAAGAAAAGAAAAUUAGUCCUCCGUUUUUGCUGACGUUGCUUAGGUUGAUGAGUUCAAUGAGUUCUGAAUUAAAUAUUUGUUGUAGUUUUAUUAUUUUUCAUAUAGAUAUCUGUAUUUAGUGUUAAAUAUACUGUGUUUGGUUGAGCUCAUAGCAUUAAGACUACAUCCACCACUAUUUACUGGUCAUAUUGAUAUAUUGAUCACUUCUUUACAUGUUGACACAACAUCCAAAAAAUUCUGCGUACAUCAGUAGUUGGAAGUUCCUGAUGGGGAAAGAGAAGAAAAGAACCAAUGACAUCAUCCCAAUGUAGGCUGAUGAUGUGCUGAUCAAUCUUUCUGGUGCUAAUAGCAGAUAAUAUCUUGAUCUGUGGUGUGCUAAUCAGUCUUUGGUUUCUGGUGAUAAAGCCAGACAUAUCUUGAUCUGGUGUCUUAUUAUAUCCAAGAACAUCUCGUACGCGUAUACUUCGUAUAUCCUGAAGUAUUUCAUCUUAUUAUAGUUGAUGUGGGAUGCAGUAUUUCAAAGAUUUACUGCUCACUCUCUUUUAACUUUACACAUACUUCAAGGGAUUGUUCGGAUUUUUUUAAGGAAGGUGUGAUAUAGCAAGUACACACUUAAAGUGACUCUUCCAAUUUUUUCUGAAAGGUGUGACACAGCAGUUCCACACUUGGUAGUUUUGUGCGUAGUUCAGGGUGAUUUCUUUUGUGGAUGUCACUGUUGCAAUAAGCAAAUGAUCAGUAUAGUUAAGCUGUUGCAUACUUUGUCACCAGUCUGCGAUCAUAUUUUGGCUCAUUUUUGGUUGAUUAGGCGAACCCAUCCUACGUGUGCCAUAUGUUAAAGUAUUGUCUAUGUAAUUGUUCAUUUAUUGGUCCAGUGCACUUUGGCUAUAAUGGGCUUGUUAGCAGAUGUGCCGAAAGUGGGUCUUCAAUGUUAUACCUGUAGUUGAAAUUGACUUCUAAUAUUACCUCUUUAAAUUUUAAAUGUUGAACUGUUUUGGUUUAGUUGGAUAUAAGGACAAAGCUAUGUAUAAGGGAUAGCUUGUACCGGUUGGCUCGGAGUGCUGAACAAAGGCAUAGGCAUGCUAAUCUCAAUAUUGGCUCUGGAGAUGAUGGAGGUACCAGCGGACCACUGAUUAGCGAAGGAACAAACAAGUAUGGAUCCUUUUUCAGUUUCUACAUUUGUAUGCAUUAAUUUCUGCGUAGCUUGUUGUCUUGGCUCUUUUCAUAUUACUUCUCGUAUACAGCUUUUUGUUUUAUUAACUAAUCAUCUGGUAUUAGUUUACAUAGUUGAUUGUUUGCUUAUUUUGCAUCAUUGUUGAGCUUAGCUUUGCGUAGUUCACUGAUGGCAUGUUUGGUGAGUGGUUGAAUACUAGCCCAACUCUUAAGUAGUAGCAUCCUUAAUUUAAGUAUUCUACCCUCCCCAGACCCCACUUGUGGGAUUUCACUGGGUAUGUUGUUGUUGUUGUUGUACCUCUGUAGAGUUGUUUGUCCUUUGAAUUAUAUUUUUCUAAGAGCGAGCUUGUCUAUACAAGUUUAUUCUUUGAGAUUAGCCACUAAUCAGGGUGAAAUUAAUAGUAUGGAGUGGAAUUGUACUUGUACUACACAUACAAUUAUACUAGUUUGACAUGUAUAAGAUCAAUAAUGAAAAUCAAAGGAAACAACUAAAAAGGUAAUUUUGAAUGAUUGCUGGUGAAUCCAAACACUGCAGCUCCUGUUGGUGAUAGGCAGAUGAUCUACUCAUCUUCUCCCUCUCUUCCAAAAAUGAAAAGAAGCAGUUUUUUCUGUGCAGAAGUAAUCUCUUGAUGAGAUUGGGUUGGUCCUAGAAGAUGUAGAUGGAUCAGUACUUCAUAAACUGUACAGGAAGACAGUGAUACUGGAACAGAAAAUUUAUGUUUGUGUAACUAGUUUCUAGGGCUAUCUACUUGUAGUCAAUAACUCUGGAAGGGUUCUUUGAUUUGGUGCUAAGAAUACGACCUUUAAGCUAUUAGUGUUUUUCGCUUCUACCUAAAAGUCCUGAAAGAUGACAAGUCUGGAUUUAGUUCACAUAUUUAGCAGCAGAAACGAGUGUAUACUUAAUAUGUCAAAUGUACAAUGUGAUACAUAAAGUUGUGAUAAAGAAGUUGAUAGUUCUAAUUCCACAUCUCAACUGUAGAUUGUAAUUUAGGACAUGAACUUACCUAUAAAAAUUGAUAAAUAUACAUGAUGAAGUGAAGAUGUUAGAUUAAAUGAGUUUUAUGCACGACAUGUGUCUCAAUUGACAGGACGGUACUGCAGGAAUGUGUUCUUUUUUUCUGAAAAUAUGGCAGGGUUUUUUCAUUUGUUAGUCAUUGAAUUAUCAAAAGACAGUUUAUACAUGACCAAACCGAGUUGGGAAAAUCUGGGAUAAUGUGUUAAGUCAGAGAACAUUUUUAAAAGCUAACUCUAGCAGGGGUGCUGGGCUCCUUCAUGGAGGUGGUGCAGCAGCACAUGUAGUAAAUUCUUUUUUUUUUUUCUUGGCAUCAGUUUUUGGUCAGUAAUGUUUUAUGGGUUGUAUUUUCAGAUGCACAGGAUAUAUAGACAUCGAAACAGACACAAAUCCUAUAGAUCGAUCUAUUGCCCAUUUGCUAUUUCACAGGCCUUCAGAUUCGGUUGUUACCCCUGCCCGUGAUUCCUCGUCUUUGAAGUCACCUUCCAUGGUAAGCUUUUUCUUAUUUCCUAUAUUCAUGUUUAACUGUUUGCUGUACGAAACCUUAUCCUGAAAAUCAUCAAUGGGCAGAUUCAUGGUUCUUUGUCUAGCGCACCAGUGUUAAGUGACAACUUGAUCUCUCAUGGAGAAAUUGCACCUCAAACUGAUGGAGAAGUUGCUGAUCAUUGAUUAUAACUAUUUAAGAUGCAAAUGGUGUGGGUUUCAGGCGCAGAAAUUAUCGAGUUCUCUUACAAGGAAUAUUUCUGUGUUCAUUGUUCUCUGGGACUGGUUUCUGGUCCAUGUGAGAACAUAUCCUUGUAUGAGCUUUCACAAUCUACAUUACUUUUGUUUCAGUCUAACCCUUCCCCACUCGGAAGGUAUACACAAACUACCUUCCUGUGUAUACAUAGGUCGGACCAACUGACUCUUUUUUGUUGUUCGUAAGUAGAUAAUACUUGGAAGUUUUCCCGAAGAUAUUUGCAGUCUUGGGAGUAGCUCAUGACCUGUUUCUGUCUUUUGUUUUCCCUUAAAGCUAAUUCGUAAUUUAAUUGACCAUGGUAUGGCCCCUACACAAUUUAACCAAAUCGCAAUACAAGAAAGAUCACCAUCUUGCAAUAAAUGUAUAUAUGAAUUAAGUGCGUCAAAUUUUGGUCAAUGUAUCUAAAUCUUUUUUUGGAUUGAUUUCUAGUUGUUUAGGGUGCUUUGGGAGAAACGACAAGUAUUCUCAUACAUUUACACAAAUUAGUAGUUGGAAAGCAGUACUUUCCGAAAGAGAGACGAGUGGUGACUGGUGCUUGAGUACUUAUUCUAAACAGAGGUGCUCACGUAUUUUUGUCAACAAAAGCUGGCUAGUGGGAUGUAGUGAGAUGGGAAGAAGUCUUGGAUGGGCAAUGGGGCCAAACAAAGGCACCCAUAGCGUAUUUUCGCUUGUUAGCCAAGUCGCCUUUAGCAGGUAAACCAUAUUCAGCAAGGAGCUUGUCGAUCAUCCACUCCGGCAUCUGCUGGUAGUCUUCUUUGGUGUACCUUGGAUAGUGCAGAGGCAUUUGGAAGUAGUUUACGCCACUCUCUUGCUUGCUAUCCAUCACCUUCUGCCUCGCCGCCUAUAUUGAUUGUUGGAAUUACGAUGGCUGGCUUCGAGUAAAUGUUAUAUAAGCAUGUCAAGUAUCACAAGGAUAAAGUGAUGUAGCUUCCCCUUUCAUCCAUUUUUUGGCACCUCGUGUGCUUUCAAUCUUGAAUAAUCAUGCGAAUGGGCUUGUGUGUGUCCAUGCGGGAAAGAGGGUAAAAGGUAGCUAAAGCCUAAAACUGGCUAAAAGUCUAUGGAGCUAUGAUUUGAUUUCUAAGUAUUCAUGUAUAUGCAUUGAAUUCAUAUUCAUGUUUAUAUUUCACUUUUAAGACAAUGCAAGUAAAUUUCAUAUUGUUAAUUUAGUUUUGGCUGGAGAAAUCUAAAAAUAAUAGACGCAAAAUGGAGUGUAUACUAGCCUUCAAGACCCAUAAAAAAGGAUGCCAUUUGAAAGAGAUUAUUGAGAGUGAAACUGAUUACACAAAGAGUGUGUUUGGUAGGGAGGAAAAUAUUUUUCUUGAAAAAUGUUUUUCAUGAAAAUGAGUUGAUUUUUUACUAAUUUUUUCAUAUUUGGUUGGUGAAUGAAAAAUAUUUUUCGGAAAAUAUCUUUUAUUGUUUGGUUAAUGAAUAAAAAUAUUUUUUAGAAAAAAACUUCUAUUUUUAGCUAGAGAGUAGAUAACAAUAUGUAGAAAAAUAAUUUGUGACAUGAAAAUAUUUUCAUAAUGUAAAGUAUUUUUUUAAAAAUAAAUAUUUUAAUUUUUUUUGGAGGGUGGGGGUAGUUUUGUUUCCACGUUUGUGGUAUCCGGAAGUCAACUAGUUUAUAUAUGUAAGAGUUGGAAGAUAUAGGGCCGAGGCUGAGUUGGCGGCUAGGGGGUGGGGUGGGCGUGGGGGCGUGGGCAGGAGCGAGGUAGUGUAAAAAUUGAAUCUUUUCAAAAAUAAAUUUUAAUUUUUUUGGUAUUGUGGGGGGGGGGGGGGGUUGGGGGACGAGGAGUGGUUAGAGUAAAGAAUUAAAAUUUUCAAAAUUUUUAACUUUUUUGCAUGGGAUUGGGUCGGGGUAGGGUGGCAUGGGCGUGGGGGUGCUGGGGGUGGAGUAAUUUUUUUUAAAAAAAUCAAUUUUAAAUUUUUGUAAAUAUAAAUAUUUAAUUUUUUGGAGGGGAGGGGGAUGGGGUGGGGGGGAAUUGCGUGAGUCAAAAUAGAAAUAUAAAUUUGAGGAAAAUAAGUUGAUUUGGAAAAUAUUUUCCCAAACAUUUAAGUCAAUCAAACAUGAGAAAAUGAAUAAAUAUUUUCCUUCAUACCAAACACACCCAAAAUGUAUCAAGGGUUUCUUGGUGCGAGAAAUUAAUACUCCCACUAAUUAUUCCAUCCAUUCACUUUUAGUUAUCAAAUUUUGAUUUGGUACACUUAUUAAGAAAAUAAUUAUUGAUAUAAUAAGUUUAACAUCUUACCUCUAUUACUGAGGAUUUCAAAUAUAUUUACUCACUAUAUUUUUCAAAGAUAUUAGCUUAGUAAUAAUAAAUUGAGGUUUUAAUAGAAUUUUUUUAAACAAGUAAAAAUAAAAAUUAAAUUAAAAUUUUUUUACCGAAAAACCGAAUGGAGAUAGUAUUAUCCAACUAAGACUUUUGACAUUAUUGCAUGUAAAAUGCAAAAGUCAAAUAACUCAAGCUCGCAUUUAGGAAGUUUUCCACCACUAUUAUUGUUACUUAUUCAAUUUUCCUAACUUGGUACAAAAAUGUUUGUAGUAUUAAAUUUGAUAGUCAAUUAUCUGGCCCUAUGAUUGUACAAUUAUAUCUAAUUUAAGAUAUUAGUACUAUUUAUUGAUUUUGUAUUUCAAGUAAAAUGUAAAUUUAUUUGAUGAAACAAUAGGUACAUAUUAAAAAAGUAUAUUUUAAUCUUAUAACAUAUAACUAAUAUUUGUGUAAUUAUUUUUAAAAUAUGUGAUUCUAAAAGCAUAUUUGGUUAUAAAAAAUUAUUAUAGAUAUAAAAUAGAAAAUGUUAUAAAUUAUUUUCAAAUUUAAAGAUUUCAUUUUCUUGUAUGAAAGAAUGGAGGUGAAUUAGAAUCACUUAACAUAAUUAAAUUAGGAUGAAGAGAGCCUAAGUUUAGGCCAAUCCACUUGGCAAUUAGUCAAAGGAAGUACUCUCCGUAUUUCAUAUUAUUUGACUGCAUACAUUAUCUUAUAAUAAUAAUAAUUUUAUUAAUGACAUUUUAAAAUCUUAAUGUUACUAUUUAUUUUAUAUAAUUAGUUAAUAUUAAGCGCAUAAUAAAAUAUAUAAGUAAUAAAACAUUUUAAAAACAUCAAUGUGGACGCAUUGACCAGCUGACCAUUGCCUCUAGUAACAAAACAAUUGCUGAAUCCAAAGAAUCUUCCAGUACAAUUAGUAAGCCUCGUGUUAAGGCCCGGCUCAAUCGCUAAACCCGAGGCGACGACGUUGUUCGCCGGCGCCGGCGGUGUACAAACCCAUCUGAAUCUGAGACGUCUUCGGUGCGUUCGGGAUUUCGAGAAUUUGCGUUGUAUUCUAUUGUUGUAGAAGUUUGGUUAUGAAAUAAAAUUAGGCGGUGGAAAUGGAGAGAAUCUUUAGUAAGCUUCGGAGUUUGGACGCUUACCCUAAAAUCAAUGAAGAUUUCUAUAACCGUACGCUUUCCGGUGGUAUUAUUACCUUAGUCGCCUCCGUUAUUAUGCUCGUUCUUUUCGUCAACGAGCUUGGUAUGUUUCCUGCAUUCUCAUCUCAAAAUUUCUUUUUUCUUGAAUUUAUUUAUUGAUUGGAAUGACACUAGAAGGGAAUGGAUUUAAAGGAUUUAUAUAGUCGGACUCAAUUAGUUUUGGAUCGUGGUGUAGUUGAUUUAUUGAUUUUGUUUCCAGUGGCUCCAGAAACUUCUGAAACUACUAUUUGGUUAUGAGAUUGGUUCGUGUAUAUUGUUUGUCCUGUGUGUCUUUAGUUCCUUUCGGAAAGUGUAUCGUAUUGAUCUUUUCAUGGAAUCUUUUCCUAGGNAUAUUUUCCUUCAUACCAAACACACCCAAAAUGUAUCAAGGGUUUCUUGGUGCGAGAAAUUAAUACUCCCACUAAUUAUUCCAUCCAUUCACUUUUAGUUAUCAAAUUUUGAUUUGGUACACUUAUUAAGAAAAUAAUUAUUGAUAUAAUAAGUUUAACAUCUUACCUCUAUUACUGAGGAUUUCAAAUAUAUUUACUCACUAUAUUUUUCAAAGAUAUUAGCUUAGUAAUAAUAAAUUGAGGUUUUAAUAGAAUUUUUUUAAACAAGUAAAAAUAAAAAUUAAAUUAAAAUUUUUUUACCGAAAAACCGAAUGGAGAUAGUAUUAUCCAACUAAGACUUUUGACAUUAUUGCAUGUAAAAUGCAAAAGUCAAAUAACUCAAGCUCGCAUUUAGGAAGUUUUCCACCACUAUUAUUGUUACUUAUUCAAUUUUCCUAACUUGGUACAAAAAUGUUUGUAGUAUUAAAUUUGAUAGUCAAUUAUCUGGCCCUAUGAUUGUACAAUUAUAUCUAAUUUAAGAUAUUAGUACUAUUUAUUGAUUUUGUAUUUCAAGUAAAAUGUAAAUUUAUUUGAUGAAACAAUAGGUACAUAUUAAAAAAGUAUAUUUUAAUCUUAUAACAUAUAACUAAUAUUUGUGUAAUUAUUUUUAAAAUAUGUGAUUCUAAAAGCAUAUUUGGUUAUAAAAAAUUAUUAUAGAUAUAAAAUAGAAAAUGUUAUAAAUUAUUUUCAAAUUUAAAGAUUUCAUUUUCUUGUAUGAAAGAAUGGAGGUGAAUUAGAAUCACUUAACAUAAUUAAAUUAGGAUGAAGAGAGCCUAAGUUUAGGCCAAUCCACUUGGCAAUUAGUCAAAGGAAGUACUCUCCGUAUUUCAUAUUAUUUGACUGCAUACAUUAUCUUAUAAUAAUAAUAAUUUUAUUAAUGACAUUUUAAAAUCUUAAUGUUACUAUUUAUUUUAUAUAAUUAGUUAAUAUUAAGCGCAUAAUAAAAUAUAUAAGUAAUAAAACAUUUUAAAAACAUCAAUGUGGACGCAUUGACCAGCUGACCAUUGCCUCUAGUAACAAAACAAUUGCUGAAUCCAAAGAAUCUUCCAGUACAAUUAGUAAGCCUCGUGUUAAGGCCCGGCUCAAUCGCUAAACCCGAGGCGACGACGUUGUUCGCCGGCGCCGGCGGUGUACAAACCCAUCUGAAUCUGAGACGUCUUCGGUGCGUUCGGGAUUUCGAGAAUUUGCGUUGUAUUCUAUUGUUGUAGAAGUUUGGUUAUGAAAUAAAAUUAGGCGGUGGAAAUGGAGAGAAUCUUUAGUAAGCUUCGGAGUUUGGACGCUUACCCUAAAAUCAAUGAAGAUUUCUAUAACCGUACGCUUUCCGGUGGUAUUAUUACCUUAGUCGCCUCCGUUAUUAUGCUCGUUCUUUUCGUCAACGAGCUUGGUAUGUUUCCUGCAUUCUCAUCUCAAAAUUUCUUUUUUCUUGAAUUUAUUUAUUGAUUGGAAUGACACUAGAAGGGAAUGGAUUUAAAGGAUUUAUAUAGUCGGACUCAAUUAGUUUUGGAUCGUGGUGUAGUUGAUUUAUUGAUUUUGUUUCCAGUGGCUCCAGAAACUUCUGAAACUACUAUUUGGUUAUGAGAUUGGUUCGUGUAUAUUGUUUGUCCUGUGUGUCUUUAGUUCCUUUCGGAAAGUGUAUCGUAUUGAUCUUUUCAUGGAAUCUUUUCCUAGGGUAAGAUAAAUUGAGAACCAAAGUCAUUGUGAAUAGAGGAGAGGAAAUUAUUGCCUAUUGCCCUAUUCUUACACCUCCCACCGCCUCUCUUAGACGGAUUAAAAUUGAUUUUGUGGAAUGUAAAAACAGGAUGCUAUGUGACGUGUGGCUAGAAUAAGUCUUACUCUGGGGGAUUGUAGUUAUGGAAUGCUAAUAUGUCAUUACUGAGUUUUGAGUGGUAUGAGAAAGGAUCUCCUUAUUGAGUACACGUCAUUUUGCAUCAAGAAGGAUUGAAGAACAUAAAUCACUUUUAGUUAGUGUUGAUUGGUUUUUAUGAGAUUGGUAGAUUAUAUAUUCCACUUGCUGGCAACGUUGGAACUUGCUUUUGAGCAAGUUUGGUGUCAACUGGUGAUACCUCUAUCAGAAGGUUUCUUUCUGCUUCUAGAUGGGUUGUUACUGCUGUAAAGAAAGAUCCGAGAAAGAUUUGGAGAACUAUUCCAGCAUAUCCAUGUUGGGUGAUAUGGAAGGAAAAUAAUCAAAUGCUUUGCGGGCAAAGUUAAAGCUGUACAUAUUAUAGAUUCUUAUGUUAGUGAUAUCUGGUGCUAGUUAGAAGAUUUAUUCCAGGGAAAUAUCAUUACUGACUGUAUUAGCUCAUUACAUCAUUGAUCUUUUGUACAAGAGGACCACUUUUUGUAAUUCUCAAUGCCGAUUUAGUGCUUUCUAGUUUAUGUAAACAGUAAUUUGGCUUGCUUGGAAGAGUGGCUUCUUCUGAGUGUAGAUUAUGAUUAUGGUGAUCCUGUACAAUCAAAUUUGAAAUAUCGAAACUUCUUUAAAAAAAAUAAAAAAAUGAUGCAACUGUUAUUGGAUAUACGUGGGCAAUGGCUAGGGUAUUUUCAAAUAAUCAAGUUCUAAGAGAUGAAAAGGAUUGGAAGACUUCGAUAAAGACAGUUUGUUCUAAGGAUUUAGGGAUUGUAGUCUCAAGGUUUCAGGGAUUACCACCACUCAGUUUUUAAGCUCAAGAACUUUUUGAUAGUUUGCUUAGAACUUAUGAUUUAAUGGUCAGCUCAUGUCCUAGACACAUGGGUAGUAGUCCCUGACAACUCUCCGUGUAGAUGUUCUCCUUCCUUCCUUCCUUGGACUUUUCACUUUUGGGGACAAACUCUUACUUUUGGACUAAGCAUGCUGGGAGCUAAAGAUUUUUUUCUGAUAAGAACAGAAUCUUAUAGAAUUUGUAAAGGUGUUAUUGUUCCUAUUUAAAAGAAGGAUUUCCAUUUGCUUCUACUGUUGUUUCAUGUGUUUAAGUGCGUUUGUAAUUGAUUUUAUAUUCUCAAAUUUUUUACUCAGUUUAAUCUUUGUCAGGAAGUUUUAUGGUUUUAAAAAAUGCAACACUUUUUGUAAAAAAAUUGCCAUGGUUUAUAGUUUGUUCUAGAUUUUGUACUUGAAGAUCUUAUUUCUUUAGUUACUUGACUGCUGAAGCCAUAAGAAUUUAUCACUAGCUUAGCUACAAUUUAAUGCUCUUAUGGUCAAUAGAACUGCUCCAUGGUUACUUGGAGUGAGCAUCCCCUGCUCACAUAUUUAAUUUUUAAGGCAACCAGAAUGUCUUGUUCAUUGAUCUUUUUCCACUUCUUGAUUUGUAGGAUUAUAUAUCAACAGUCAUACUGCAACACAACUCGUUGUAGAUACUUCAAGGGGAGGAAAAUUAUAUAUACAUGUAAAUUACUGCCUUCUUAAGAUGUCAAAUUGUCCAUAAUAUAUGAUCUCUUAGAGCGCUUUUUAUCCCUGUAGUUAUAGAUGUAGACAUAAUGUAUCUUUUGUUCUUCAAGCAGUUUGAUAUCACCUUUCCAGCUGUUCCAUGUUCACUACUCAGUCUUGAUGCCAGGGAUAUUAGUGGAGAAGAACAUUUUGACAUAGUAUGUGAUGCACAUAUUCUUAAAUUUUCUUUUUUGCUUCUACUGUAAGCAUUACAUCACUGUUUUCUUUAUUCUUGAAAACUCAUUUUCUUUUUAUUUCAACUUCAAAUGACUUGCAGCGUCAUGAUAUAUUUAAAAAGAGGAUUGACUCCCAUGGUACUGUUAUUGAAGUCAGACAAGAUGGAAUUGGUGCACCUAAGGUUUGUUGGUGACCGAUACUAUAUGUUUUGAUGUAUUCCUUGGCGUAUUUAUCUACUUAUUUAAAUAUGAAGGCCCAUGUGUUCAUGAAUGUUUGGCAAUAAUUCUCUGCUUAUUAUUCCAUAUGAUAUUGCUGCCUUCCGGAUAUAAUAGACUCUGCUGCAUUUUUACGGUGUCAGCUAUCUUAAUGUUUUAGAGAAUAGUGAUGCUUCAUUAUGAGUUACUUGUAUGUGAUACCUAUUGUCCUUCCAUGAGUCCUUUAACGAAAGGCAAGCUUGCUGUGUGAGCCUAGGGAUCAGAUAUUUUAUUGUUUGUUUUGUUCUGGUUUAGAUUUACUGUUUGCUUAUACAUCACUGACCCUGGUAUGCUCUCUCUCUGUCUUGUUUGUUUGUUUCAAUAUAGAUUGAGAAGCCUUUACAGAGACAUGGUGGCCGACUUGAGCACAAUGAAACAUACUGCGGGUCAUGCUUUGGUGCAGAGACGGUAUGUUUUCAUCGAAAGAUUUCCAAUUAAUCCUUUGUAAGAACAUAGUGUCAAGGACUACAUUCCAUGUAUGUUACAUCUAUGAGACCAUGUCUAUUGCAGGCAGAUGAUCAAUGUUGUAAUUCAUGUGAAGAAGUUCGUGAAGCAUAUCGAAAAAGAGGCUGGGGGAUGACAAAUCCAGAUUUAAUCGAUCAGGUUUAAUCAUGUUCAUUUUUCUAACUGAAAUUCAGAAUAUCAAGUACAUUUAAAAGAACAAGUGCUGUUGACACGGGAAAACAAUUUUUGACAAAUUAGAUCAAUUAGAGUCAUCAAGUCAUUGACAACCGUAUUUCAACCAAUUAAUUUUGUAUUAGCUUGUUGCUUCACCCGUCCCUGAGGGGUUUGGGGAAAGUUGGAGACAUUUUGAUUAAAUAGUGAAAGGGAGUUUACAUUAUUAUUGUUCAGCACAACCUAGUGUGAAGGUAGAAGUUUUUAUUUUCGCAUAGUGGAAAGGAUGAAUAAAAUGAGAAGUAGCAGAGGACGUGCUAAUAGUUGUAUUUAUAUAUUUUUUAAGAAGUAUAUUGACUCAAAAUCAAUGUUACUAAUCUACUUAAUCUUCAGUUAUCAUUCGUUUAUUACCGUGGUGUUACCUAUAUGAUAUUUUAAUUUUAGUGUAAAAGGGAAGGUUUUGUCCAAAAGAUCAAGGAUGAAGAAGGUGAAGGAUGUAAUAUCCAUGGAUCUCUAGAGGUCAAUAAAGUGGCUGGAAAUUUUCACUUUGCUGCUGGCAAAAGCUUUCACCAGUCGAGCUUUCAACUCUUUGAAUUGAUUUCCUUACAGUCAGAUACUUAUAAUGUAAGAUGCCUUCCAUAGUGAUUUACUCAUAUUAAUAGAUUGUUCUUAGUGAUUGAUAUGUUCAGAAAUGUUGGCUGAUAUUCAAUUCACAUUUUUUUAUGUCAUGCAGAUAAGUCACAAAAUAAAUAAGUUGGCUUUUGGCGACUCUAUUCCUGGAGUUGUAAAUCCACUUGAUGGGUAAUUUCCUUACUCUCUGCAGACUGUACUAUGUUUCGCCGUGUGCUCCUGUCUACUGGCCUAGGUCAACUUGCAGUUUCCUGGCUAUUUUGAAGUUUAGCAUGCUUUUCCCUGGCUUAUAGUUAUAUGUCAAAGCAUAGUUAUAGACUGCAAUUAGCACUUAGAUUAAGGAAACCUUUUCAACUUAAACACUGGUUGUUUAUGUUAUUGCGAUUUGGGUACAUUUGUCUUUCAAUUCUUGCUGAACAACUAUAUUUACUGUUCAAAACUAUAUUUAUUGUACUUUCUCUACAUGCAUCGCGAAUCUUCCCUCCUUUUCCACCCUCUCAUUGGGAAUACAAAAAAUGGAGAACAUAGUAUUUCCAUUCUUUUUUCCUUUCCAAAUAAUGGGGUGUUUGGGUCAGCUUGUGUGCACCUUGACUAAUUCCACGAGAUAUAUGUCACCUCCCACUAGAAGCAGGUACCAGGUAACUCUUUCCGCCAAGGUUAGGACAAAUAAGAAGAAAUCACCUAGUGUUUUUGUCUCUGUUGAGAUUUGAACGUGAGACCUCAUGAUUCUCAACCCAUUUUAUUGACCACUAAGUCACGCCCUUGGAUGCAUGUGUUCAUGACAAAUGGGAAUUUCAUGACAAAUGGGAAGAAAUCACCUAUUGUUUUUUGCCUCUGUUGGGAUUUCAACUUGAGACCUCAUAAUUUUUAACCCACUUCAUUAACCACUAGGCCAUACCCUUGGGUGCAUAUUUCCAUUCUUUAUAAUCUUUUGCAAUCGUAUAUCACCUAAGAAAUUUUGUUUAAAAAUUUUUUUUUUGUUUCUAUUACUUGCUAGGGUUCAAUGGACGCAAGAAGCACAAAGUGGAAUGUAUCAGUACUUUCUCAAAGUAAGUGUUUGUGGACAUAAUAUUUGUCCUUUCUGUUUCCAUCUCCUCUCGAUUUGCAUGUAUAGUUGUAUUAUUUAUAAAUAUGCAUCUGGUGUCGGAAACUGGUACGAGGCGGAGAAGGAAAUAAGGAAAUUAAGUAACAUGAUUGAAGGGAAAAGGACUUGUACAGGAGAAGCAUAGCACUUCAUAACUGUAAAUUUCAAGCUUCUAUGAAGCCAAGACCCUCUCUGCAAGUGUAGGUAAAGCUGUGCUGGGGGCGAUUAAGAAAUAUGUAAAUAAUUUAGUACUUCUCAAAAGAUAAUUCCACAGGGCUGAAUUUGCUCAAGCCUAGUCUAAGCCCAAGAAGUGCGCUGUUAAUCUAUGCUAAUUGCGUUAUUGUUAUGGUAUUUAAUUUAAAAUCGAUAUUUAACCCCUUGGCCGCCAAUUUUAGUUGUUAUGUCCUGCAUGAACUCAGUGCUUGGCUAUUUCUGUUAAUAAAAGCUAAAUUUGUCUAUUUUUCAGUUAAUGAAAGCUUAAUUUACUGAUUAAAAAAUCAAAUGUCGUCUUGCCAGCUACGUGUUACAUUGAAGACAAACACCAAUUGUUGCAUUAGUCCACAAAGUACAGAUUACAACCAAAACUGCGACACAACAUAUGAAUCUCCUACCCAUACUUGUAAUUUAAUUAGGAAUUAAUUGGAAAGAAUCAAACUGUGUUUCAAUGUUUGAAAAAAUAACAACUUACUCAACGUGUCUGCUGGUGUUUCAGGUGGUCCCUACAAUAUAUAAAGGUGUUAGAGGCCGUACUAUUGAUUCAAAUCAGGUAUGUUUUAAAACCAUUUUGAGACUAACACUUUUUUCUUGGAAUUUUGGAUAUCAUCCUAAUAUGGAAGGACAUUUGUUAUGUAUAGUUCUCAGUGACCGAGCAUUUCAAGGGUUCAGAAAUGGGCCUUUUCCAAUCAAUUACUGGGGUUUACUUCUUUUAUGAUCUCUCUCCAAUCAAGGUGAAAUCUUUCAUCCAUUUUUCGCCUUUAUUCCUCUUUCUAUGUUAUUUAAUUAUUAUAUAUAAAUAGAGGCUGAACUGAUGGAUUUAAUGAGGGUGUUUCCCUUCUGUAUUAUAUCAAAAUUAGAUAUCCCAAUUUGACAGUAUUCUUUAUCAUGAACAUGCAAGUAUGAAGGUGAAAACUUCCGAUAGGACUAGAUAUUUGAAGUAUGGUUCUAUGCCAAAAAUAGCACUAGAAGGGAUAUAUGGUAGGGCAUGUUAUGGGUCCAAAUCUUGCUGUCUUAAGUUUGGUAUUUAAGUGAUCACUAGACCUAUUGUCAAUCUAGUUUUCAAGCUGGAAAUUGCUAACUUUUUGGUUGAAAAAAGAGGAGAAUAUUGAAAAAUGAAUAUAUUUGCAUAGGAGCAGGAUGAAUUAUCUUCCAAUUUCGUUUCUUGUUGCAGGUGACUUUCACAGAGGAGCAUGUGUCGUUCUUUCAUUUCCUCACCAGUGUUUGUGCAAUUAUUGGAGGUAACUCACCGUCUGAUAUAGUAUUCAGCUGAUCUUAUUUUGGUAUUAAUGUUACUUGUGAUUGUUGGACUUUCCAUUCUACGAGUUCUGUGAAAGGUAGAAUGGGUGGAAACUAGAUAAUCGGAAGAUCUCUUUUGAGCUGCUUAUCUAUUCUAAAUGCAAUCAGGAAUUCUUUCAAGCUCUAGAUAUCAGUUUUCCCUUCGUUGUGAAAUCAUACUUGAUUUGCCAUUAAGCUUGGCUGAGUUGCAUUGCUUUGGUAACACUUCAUUGCGAGUAGUGUAUUAAAUAAAUUUCUUAUCGAAAUUUUGCUUCUCAUUUCAUUUCAAAUUUUCUACGUCUAUGAGGUAGUGGCUACCCUCCCCAGACCCCACUUGUGGGUUUCUACUGGGUAUGUUGUUGUUGUUAUUUCAUUUCAAAUUAACAGUGUUUAAGCUGUUGCCCUGGUCAAUCAAGCGGGGAACAAUCAUUUUUCUAAUCAACUUUGUAUGAGUAAUAUUGGUGCUGUGCAAUGUUCAUUUCUUACAAUCUUUACUUACAGCAUCAUCCUUGCCCCUUCAUUCAGGUGUCUUCACUGUUGCUGGAAUAGUAGAUGCAUGUAUUUACCAUAGUCAAAAGGCCAUAAAGAAGAAAGUGGAACUCGGGAAGUUCCGUUAAUGACCACUGCAAACUAAUGCUUCGUCAUCCUUGAUGCAGUAGCUACUGCAUAGUGUUGGAUGCUUGUUCAUUUCUCUCCUUCCUCGGCCCUUCUGAUGGAUUCGUUUGGUUAUUUAUUAUGUACAAGCCUUCCAACAAAAAGGAAGACAUGCAUCAAGUUUCACUAGAGUAAAUUAACAUUCACCAGGGCUCAACUCCCCAAGUGCAGAAUAUGACCAACUUCUGUGAUUCCUGCUGCAUUUCAUUCUCAUUUUGCUCUUUCACCUUGAGUUACGAGGAUCUUGGGUAUUGUUCAAAAGAGAAAUGAUCUUUUCUGUAGCUCGGAUUGGAAGUCACAUGCUGAAUGUUUACCUUUAACAGAGUAAAUUGUAAUUUUGUGUUACAAGUUGACUUGUGCCGAUGAGCUACCACAUUGAUUGUAAAGAUUGUCAAAAGAUGAGCCUGAAUUUAGCUGCGUCUGAUUUUGGACCACCGAUUUGCCUGGCAAAAUGUGAGAUUAUGAAAAGUGUUUGCUUCUUAUUUCUAAUUUGAUUACCUUUACGGAUUGGGCUCACACAUAAAAGAGAGAUUAAAAAAAAGCAUCUUUUUCUUUAAUUUACUGCACAACUCUGAAGAAAUGCACUAGUAAAGUUGAAGCUCGUGAUAGGGUGAAACUUUGAUUCAUCGGAAAUUCUUACACCCGGGAAAUGUUCUCCAUAAUAGAACCAAUUUUAGCUAUAGAUGCCGUCUAAACAAAGUACAAGCAGGUUCUCCACAACAGAGAUAUUGAGGAAAACCUGUUUUAGGUUCUCUACAUGACCAGCUUGAAGAUAAAUGAAAGCCAUGUUGCAGUAACUGAUACUGUGAUUGUUAAUUUGCUUCUUUUAAAGGGGAAAAACAAAUCACAUCACAGUAUUUCAAGUUUAAUCUAAAGCGAAGAAAAUUUUAAUUUUUUAAAGUAAAAAAAGUGUUCAUACAAGAUUUGAAGUCCUAUUGUUGUCAGUUUUACGAUGCAAAAAAGUGUUACUGCCCAGGAUCGAACUGGGGACCUUCAGUGUGUAAGACUGACGUGAUAACCACUACACCACAGCAACACCUUGUCUGUUUUAUAAAUUAUGUAAAUUCUAUUAUUCCGCCAAAUAGAACUGCAGCACAAAGUUUUACAUCCCACUUCCACAGAACUCUGAACGUGAAAUUUAUGGAAUAUGUUACUAAGCUAGACUCCGCAAGAUACGCCGAUGCUUUUAAUGGAAUAGGUUCGAAACCAUAACUUUCCAAUAGGACUUGAAAAGAGCGAAAAUGAAAGAACGAACCAAUAAUCCGUUAUAUUCAUUCUUACAUUUAGUUAUCCCUGCGACUACAAGGCUUUGCCAACAUGUAAAGUCAUUCAAAUUUAAAAGGAGAGUGCCUAAAUCCCGCCCAUGGACUCUUAAUGUUUGAUUUUACUGUUGUCAUAUUUUUAAGAGGAGAUGCCUGAAAUUCCCCCGUUAAAUAGCUCUGUUUGUGUCCAUAUUGACAACACACUUAACAAGUAGUUCCAACUUAGAUUUAAUAACUCCAGCACAUGUUGUUUCAAGGCUAACACACCAUUGCCUGUUGUAGUAGUAAGUCAAUAAAUCUGCGAUAGAAACCCUUGUCAAGGGGCCAAGUUGUAUUAUUUUAACAUUAUAUAGUGCUUGGAUUACUGCAUGAAUAGUCAACCUGAAAACUGAGUUCAGGGAGAUGGCAUCACUGGCCAUCAGAGGAUCCAUGUCUGCAAGCAUUCAAACUGAUUGCAACACUGACAGUUUAAAGCAUCUUUGCUUUUCGAUUGCUUGUUAACAUGAACUAUUUGUUCCAAGGACCGCUCACAGAGCACAGCUGAAGCUCCGCCUUUGCUUUUCACUGACUAGCCUUGUUACCAUUGAACUUCCCCAGCUUAACUUCUGCAAGUCAAUGUAGACACUGUUGAACGAUUCUGAUGACAAAUUUUGAGACAAAAGACUCCACUUGAGGGAACAUCCACUAAUCAAUCCAAAAUUCAAGCUGUUUUAUCUGCAGUAAGCUGAAAGCAGCAAUUGUGAACCUCAUACCAAGCUUGGCUUAAGGAUUGGAAAUGUGCUGGUGUAUCAAGGCUAUCUAAUUUUUUUUCUUGCAGAUGCGAUCAGAUGAGAGUAAAAGAGAGAUCUGACACGUUUCAUUCAACUUUCAAGGGGUUCAAAGUUUAACUCUGCCUCAUUUUUCCAUCCAAGGUAAAUGGCUUUUUCUCUUUCUCUUUGAGCUCCACUCCUGUGGGCCAUCAUACCAUUCACUCAGUGACAGUAAGUGUUAGGUAUUAAUCAAAUGACACAACCAGCACUAAAGCUUCACUAACAACUCAAUGUAAUUGACAAAUUAAUGAUUUGUAUUACCUGCUGGGAGAAGUAGAAACAUUUUGUAAUUGCAUGCACACCCUCAUAAUUUAACUUCAAAACCCUAGCUUCAACUAUUUUCUUUUUUUUGCUUCUGAGCAAGAUAUUCGUGAUACUCUACCAACUCUUUCUCCAUUCUCUCAAUAAAUUGACUUGUAUGCUCCAAGGAUUGCCCAUAUCGAUACUUCUCUAAGGCCUGCAGUUGUACAAGCCAACAGGGUAAUCAUCUAUUGAAUAUAAAAUCCUUUUAUUCACACAUACAGGAUGAUUCAAGCAUGAUAUCCCAAAAAAAAAAAAUGCAUACAUUACCUUAUCUUUAGAUAGAGUAUCUGGAGGAGACAUAACAUCUGGCUGAACGUAAUUCUUUCCACGAUAAAAUAUUAUGGUAUUGUCUGGCUUAAUGUCAAUAACAAUGCCUCUGCUUAGCCGAGUCAGCUCAGCAGCAUAUUCAUGAAUCUGCCCAGGCUUGCAAGGUCUGCAUACAACCUUAACUGUCUCAUGUUUCUUCCAGUGAAGAUGCAUAUUCAACACCACCCCUCCAAACACUCCUCGUCUCCCAACUGGUACAUAAUUUUUCUUUUUCUCACCAGUGCGCUUCAAGUAAAACUUCUCCUCUUCAGUUAAAAUUUCAGGAUCAUGUGGUUCUUCUAGAGCUUUAGGUACCUCAAAAUUUCUCAAUUUCUCAAUCAACCAAGAUUCCUUUCGUUUUGCCUGCAAUAUACAUGCAAUAACCAACAAAAAAAAGUUAGAUCUCGUCACUCUUCUUUUUUUCAUCAGCUUGGAGUAUUGCAGAAGAGAGUAAGGCAGUUUUUGCAAACACGGGAAAGCUUUACUCACUUGAUGUAUAUACAUGGAUAAAUAAUUCUCCCAUAUAUCAGAACCAAAAGUCAGAACAAGCAAGAGAGCAAUGUUAAAAAUAAAUGGCACACCAAUUUUCAAUUUCUUCCUUUUUAUUUAACCAAAAAGAAAAUAUUAAUUCUCCUCUCUCUUCCCCCUCCUCCCUGUCUAAAUUGUUCAAGCAACCAGAAACCAAGAGAAAAAGGGGAUGACGGGAAAAAAAAGGAAUGCAGCACGGACAUAAGCUUAUUCACAUGAAUAAAUCUUGACAACAGAAACCACUGAAAUGCUUGGUAAUUUAAACUGGAGAGAUUACUAUAUAGAGGCAAAUUAUUCUAUUCAACAUAUCUUAGACAUGGACAUCAUCACCCUUAAUGGAUCUGACCUUCUCGAGUUUGUAUCUGAUCCUAACUUCAGGAUUCGGAGAUCUCAUUUUCUUCUUUGCUUUCAGUCGAUAAAAUCUGAGUUCAUUCAAUUUUGCUUUUUUAGACAUUUUAAACUUCUUCACGACACGUUUUGCCUUUGUCUGACCACCUCUUUUUCCGAUUUCUUGACCAAAUUUAAAUCUGACAACACCUUUCUCCGUAUUGAGCUCUAUGGGUGGACUACAGAACCGCCUAGCAUGGAGCAAAUUCAAAACAAUCUCACGAGAUCCGGAAGUAAAUGAACUUGGCAAUGGAGAAGUGUUCAUUGCAGGAUCUUGAUGAGGUAAUCUAUGAAUUAAUCUCAUUUGGUGAUAGUUUCUGGAAAUUGAGGAGUUCCGAUGACUAAGAAAAUGCAUAAAGGAAGAAGCUUUAGGCAAAUGUGGAUUUGCAACACCUUGUCCAGAGUAACAAAACGUAAGAGGAGCUUCCCUGCAUAAAUAAAAACCAAUCAGCAGAUAGCUUACAAAUGCCUAUAAAAACUAAAAGAAAAUGUAUGUAUGUCAUCAACUCCUAACAACCUAUAACACAGGCCAAAGAUGAAAUUGCAGAAUAACCGUAAUUCGAAAUGUUAAAUGUCUCUUUUGUCCUGGUUAUUGAUAAUUCAUUCUAGUUAAGAAAACUAUAUGAUGAUUUCUAUGAACUCAGGCCAGCUAUUCUAAAAUUUUGACAAAGAAGGAAAUUCCCAGCAAGUUGACGGGCAGUUUAGAAAACUAUAUAAUAAUUUCUAUGAACUCAAAAUUAGUCGAAAUGUUACCGCCUGGGCACACACUCUAGCUGAACGGAAAUUGUCACUGUAGUUGACAGGUUUGUUGAAAGAUUGCCGUUUCUUGUUCCUCAUUAGCUUAAAUACAUUAGCAAAAACUGAAGAAAAAUCGUGUAGAAGAAAACGAUCAAGCGUCAACAAAUAAAAACCCUAGGUACGAAAGUAUUUGUACCUUGAGACGACAUUGAUAUCGGAAUGCCUGAAAAUGAAGCUCCGAAACUUGAGGGAAGAGCUUUUCAUCCGUUUGUUAAUUGCAAACAUGAUUUUCACGGCGGCGAGUACUGGUUGCUCAGCCGCUCUCAACUAUCGGUACCCGUUUAAAAUUGGGUCCAACGCCAAAGCCCAGAAUUGAUGGGGAAAUUUCGCAACAAGAAACUUAUACGUUUUAAUUUUUUUUUAACUCUAGAAUUUGAACUUAGGAGGGUUGUUUGGUUUGAAUAUUAAUUUACAAAUAGAACUUGCAUUUUUAAGUUUGUUAAAAGUAAAAGAAAAUUAUGAAAAGUCAAAAUAUAAAAAAUAUAAUAAUUAGUCAAUAAAAAUUAUACUAUAUAGUGUAAUUUUUUAAUAAAAAAAUAUGAAGAAGUAUUAUAAAAAUAAGGAGUGAAGGUUUUGAAUAUUAUUAUAUAUUGUAUUAAAAAUAAUGUAAAUAGAUAAAAUAAAGUAUAAAAAGUGAUAAAUGAAAGGGUACAUUUGUCAUUUUAUAAAUUUAUCUCAUGAUAAUUUAUCAUGAGAUUAUUAUACCAUCCCUUAGAAGGGAUAAGUUAUCCCUUCUAAGCCAACCAAACGGACGUUUAAGGGGGGAUAAAAUUUUAUCCCGAGAUUAUUUUCAUUUAUCCCUUACACCAAACGAUCCCUGAAUGUAAGUAGGUGAGGGGUGGAUAUAACCGAGGGUCGUUUAGUAGAGUGUACAAGAAUAAUGUUAAAUUGAAUAUAUUAAUAAUAUUUGUAUUAGUUAUGUUUGCAUUAAUUAUAUUUUUUCAUAAAUUGUUUGAUUUGAUACAUUGAAACUAACAUGCAUUACAUUAAAAAAUUGUAUUUACAAAGAUAUCUUCCAUAUUUAUGAUGUAAAAAAUAUAAAAAAAGUUUUAGGGGUAAUUGGGUCUUUAAUCAUGCUAAUGCAUGCAUUAAAAUUAUUAUAUUACUAAUACUUAACAAUAUAUGAUAUUAAUAAUACACUUCUUAAUACACAAAAGAUUAUAGCAUUAUUUAUACAAAAUAUGAAAAAGUGUACCAAAUAAAGCCGGUCAUGUGUAUGUUUUAAUUUAAGAGUGAUUAUAUUUAAAUGAAGUGAUAUAAAUAAUAAAUUCUCUUUUACUUUAACAAACUUUAAGAUGAAAGUUUAAUUUUUAAGCUAAAUAAGAUAAUAAUUUUAUUUUAGAUACAUGAAUAUACACGUAAAAAUAUUUAAGUUGGAUAACAUAAAAAUUUUAUUUUUAAUAAUGGAUAACUAAAACUUGUAAUUUAUUUUUAGAAUUUAUGCAAUGCAUAUUAUUUUAAACACAAUAAAUUAAAUAAAUAAUAAAAAAUAAUCUCAACAUAAAUUAUUUCAUCAUAUUAAACAAGCGUGUAAUACUAUAAUGAGAACAAUCUAUGUUGCAAUGCCUAUCAUGAAACAAAUCAACAUUGUCCUAAAUAAUACUUUUUUCAUUCACUCUCACUUGUCACUGUUUCACAUUUUGAAGUCAACUUGACAAAACUUCAAAUUAAAUUUAAUAUUUAAAAUUUAGAUAGUUGAAACUAUACGAAAAAUGUUAUAAAUUACAAUUUGUCUCAUAUUAAUAUGAUGAAAAAAUAGAUUUGUUGGUCAAAGUUGAUUUAAUUUAACUUCGAUAAGUGAAAUAGUAACAAGUAAAAAUAAACGGAGGAAGUAUUCCGCUGACACAAUUUUAUUCUUGAAUGUCAUCAUUCCAUAAUAAAAAAUUUAACUUAAGAAUUCUAUUUUUAUUUUUAAUUAUAUACUUGAUAAAGACUGAUUGAGAUCACAAGUUCAGCAUGGUACAUAGAACAAUGUUCCAAUUUGUAACUACUUAACUAUCGAGAUGGAGUUGCAGUUGGUAUGGAAUCAUCAGUCAUAGAUUGAUCCAUUGAGAAGGACAGAUCGUCGUCAUCUUCCGAUUCAGGUACCGCGCCGUUAAUGCUUUCCACUUCCCUCAACAGCUCACUCACCUCUGGUCGGUUUUCCGGCGAUUUAUCACAACACCUUAUAGCAGUCUGCAGCAAUUUCACCAUACCUGAGUUGGCACUUCUCUGAACAGCUAUUUCUGAGUCGAAAAUCUCAGCCGUCCAUUCUUCUCGCACCGCCCUGUAAACCCAACUGCAGAGAUCAGCUCCGGUCACUCCCGCCGGAGCAGAAUGUGAAGAAAUUCUACCUGGUACAAUACCGCAGACAAAAUUUUGUAUGCGUCGUGUCAGUCUCUUAUUACAAUGACGAAAUGACACAUUUUCUAUCGAAUUUUUAUCUCUAUAUAUCAAUGUAUACAACAAUGUGAUCGACUUUAUGUGUUGUAUACACCAAAGAUAUACAUUGUUAGAUGACUAAUUAAGUAGUGUACGCAGAUAUUUGAUUCAAUCAUGAAAAAAAAAUACCUGUUAACAAUUCCAGGAGAAGGCAGCCAAAGCUCCAAAUGUCAGAUUUCUUGGACACUUUCUUGGAAGUCAGAUAUUCAGGUGAUCUGUAGGAAACCAUACGUUGAGUAGCGAUGGGGAUCGCAAUAAGGGAAGUGAGGCCAAAGUCAGCAACACGAACAUCAUCGUUUUCGUCGAGUAAAACAUUGGUGGAUUUUAGGUUGCCGUGGGGGACAGCUAUGGCAGCAAAUUGGGGGGAGCUGGCUUUCAGGUGUAGAUGCUCUAAUGCUCGAGCGACACCACGAGCAAUGGAUAAUCUUGAGUUCCAUCGAAAUGGAAUCCUAUCUCUCGUCCCUUUUCCACCUAAAAAUCAGUUGUAUAUAUGAGCGACUAUAAAUCAUCUUGAACAGACUAAAAAGAAAAAUAUAUCACAGAAAAAAAAAAAAGCAAAGUAACGUACCAUGAAUGCGGUUAUACAAGCUUCCGUUAGGUGCAAAUUUCAAGAGAAGCAAUUUCUCAUCCCUUGUAUAAUAAUAACCUAGAAUAGGCAACAAAUUUGGAUGCUUCAUAUCACUAAUAGCUCUUACUUGUGUCACAAAUUCAUCAUUUGUCAAAGGUUUCAAAUCCCUCAAACGUUUCACCACAACAGUAGGUCCAUCUACCAACAUUGCCUUGUAACAAUUUCCAAAAUUUCCUUUUCCCAAACCUUCAGCUGAUGCUCUCAGUAAAUCAUCUAAUUCAAAUUUUAUUUCACUUCCUAGGAAUAUCAAUUUUCCUUUCUCCAAUUCAACUUCUGAUGCCACACUUCUUGAUUCCAUGCUCCUCGUUUCUGUUGGUGUCGUCGUGAUCUCAAGUUUGCUACUCUCAAUUUUGUCAACCUCCAUUAAUGUUGUAUUCUUAUUCAUCAGCAUUUUCUUAAGCUUUUUCGUUUUCUUGAAGUAGUAAAUGGCGAGAAAUAAAAGAACAACAAUGCCCACAACAUUAAUUACUACCAAGAUUGGAGUCCACAUGGAUGAUUUUGAAUUUUUUGAAGAUUCAUUAUGUGAACUAUCACUUGGACUUGGAGAAGAUGACUCAUUAUACUUGAUGGCACACGUCGCGUUGGAAAGAGGAGGACCACAUAAAUCAGGGUUACCAAAGUACGAGGACGGACCAAAUUUUUGAAGAGCUGUUGUGUGUGGAAUUUCACCAGAAAGAUUGUUGUCAGACACAUUGAAAACCUUCAAAGUUGACUGAUUAAAACCGGGAAUUGGACCGUUCAAAUUGUUGUUCUGUACCUGCAACGACUCUAAUGAAUUAAGUGUUAGAAGAGAAGGUGAAAUUUUCCAAUCAAAUCUGUUACCGGAUAAAUCAAUGUUCUUCAGAUUUUGGUUCUUGGAGAAGUCCAUCAAAUUCCCUGAUAUGGAAUUGUUCUUGAAGCUAAGUGUUUGUAAUUGGGUGAGAUUGACAAGUGCGUUUGGCUUGAGUUUUCCAGUAAGGCCAAGAUUUUCUAGCACAAGUCCAGUGACUCGACCGUUGAUACAGCUAAUACCAUACCAAUUUGGGGUGUUAUUCAUGUAACACAUAAUGCUAUUCCAACUUUUUUGGAGCAAUUUAGGAUUGUUCAAGUCAGCUCGAAUCGCCAAAAGAGCAUCCCUUUCUGUGCCAUGAUAGCCUAUCGGAGAACCAUCUUCGGCUAUGGACAAGGUACAUAAUUUCAUCAUGAAAAUCAAGACAACACAGUACUUGAAGAGACUAGAAGAACCCAUUGUUGUUUGUCAAAAGGCAAAGAGCCGCACACAAAUUAAGGUUAAAAAAAACAGGGGAUGUAGUUGACAGCUACAUUGUUGAGAGAAGAAAACAAGGACGAUUGUUACGAGAAAUUGGUUGUUAUUAGUUAUCAACUGAGAAUACUAGGAAGGCAGCUAAUUAAUUCGUUAACUUGUGAUACUAGGUAUAUAUUGUUUCUAGCGAAAAGAGGACAUUAAUCUCAAAGUGAUAGGUUUGAUUUUAGGGAACCUGGAACCUCGUGGUAGUCUUUUUGUCUAAGAAUUUCUCGCAAGACAAGCUCUUUUUAUCUUGUUAGUCAAAUAUGUUCUAUCAGUUCAAAAGUUAAGGUUCUUAGUGUUGAAGGUAUACUUCCGUUUAUAAACCAUUCAAGAAAACGAAUCUCAAAAUCCAAAAAAAGUAUAUCAGCUAUGGGGAGGAGGAGAUUGCUCACUUAUAAUGGUAGUCAAUUUUGGGACAGCAAUUAGAACUUCUAUCAUGUUUAGAAAAUAGACAUUGGGCGGCCAAACUCGAGCACAAAGUAACUCAUACGAUGAAAAAUUGUACUCUCUCCAUCCCAUAUUAACUUAAGUUGUGAGACAAUGCAUAUAAUUUAAUAACAUAAUUUAAACUAUACUUUUUACUAUUACCUUUUAUAAAAUCAUACAUGUAGCUUUUCGAGUAAUUUUCUUCUAGACAAUAUAAAAUUUAAAUAAAUGAAAUGACAAAUAUGAAAAAAAAAUUCAAACAUUCAUCUUAAACUUUGAAAAGAUAAAUUAUUUUGAACAAUAAAAAAAAUUUCAAAAAUUAAAUUAAUAUAGGAUAGAAGAAGAACCUAUACCCUUUAUUCUGAAAGAAAAUGAAGAGGAGCCUUAUCCCAAGAAGUAAACCACGAAAAACACCAAAGGGCGGCCCAACAAGGAUUGAUAGGCCGGCAAGUUUAUGAGAAUGGUUUGGUAUCAAUAAGAAUGGUAUGCACGUUUGGGGAUAAAUGAUGACUUAGCCCAAAGACACAGAGGGUUAGGUCUAUUGAAUUAAAGUGAACAAUACGUGUUAUGGACUUAAAUUGUGAUAAUAUUUGUCUUUAUCUAUAAUAUCGUGUUAAGAAAAUAGAUCUGACCUAACUGAAGCAAAUGGUAAUUAUAAGAUAAAAAAUAUCCAAAAGACAUAUCAAGAGACUAUAAAUUAACAUAUGAAGAUCAAACUAAUACUAAUUAGUCGCAAAAUUGCAUGCAAUAUCAUCAGAGACUUAGUCACACGUGACAGCUUUAAAAUAGUUUUAAGUUCUCACUCUUGCAACCAAAAGGCCGUUGGAUUGGGUCCAUCUAAUUAAGGUUUGUGUCCACUACAGGAAAGCUACCCUACCAAUUGUCCCAUUAAUCUUAGUCAAAUCCUCCUUUUGAACUACAAAUCCAACACGUGAAUGUGCAUGGCUUUGAUCAAUUUCAGUUGUCUAUAGACUUUUACGUAAUAUUCGUUGACUUAUCUAUCUAGGUACUCUCGUAGCAUCCUCUACAUAGAAAUCCAUCACAGGAGACCAAAAAUAAAUAAGAUUUUUAUUUAUUGAUAUUGGAUACAACUAACAAUUCCAUUGUGCAGCUUGCGCUUACUAAACGAAACUAAUUAGUAUUAAUAAAAUAGGACGAAUAUACGAAUCAGUUAAUUGCAGAGCAAACUUUACGAAUUUCACCAUUAGUCCCUGUCAAAACUUCAAUAUUGCUCAUUUUAACCAUGGACCUUCCAAAUUCGACUCCGAAUCUCAAUCCAAGAAAUCCCCUGAGACCUAAAUAUCUUUGGACAAACACCUUGGUUGAAGCAUCGGUCCACAAUUUUUGGUCUGACUCCAGAAUUCCCCGACCAUUCCUCAAGUUAGAGAAAUACGAGGUGUCAAAAUUGUUCACACUUCCGGUGUC
rnacentral:lncRNA from 1 species